CUUGCCUUGCUUUAUAUAUAAAGCAACGGCCAACAUACACGCAACUGCAUACAAUACGCCGCCACCACACACAAUACACAACACACAUCCAAGGUAAGAUGCAAGGGUGCCGAGGAAUAGCAACACCCGUGCCACCAAGCACACUACAAAUGGACCAAAAAGAACAACUGGAGUCGACUGAGACCUUCAUCAUGAGCUAUGCACCACGAAUAUGUGAAGCUGGACAUCGAUGAAACAUACACUCAAAAGUGGUACCUACAAGAAGGAUACACCACGCCCAAUCCCGGGGAUCAGUUUUUCACCCAGAGCGCCAAGAAGGACAAAGAGUGACUGCCAUGGAGCCUUCAGGAAGGUAAUGACGCCCGCCGACACUGCUCCUGUCGGCCUAGAAAAAAUAAGUUAUGCACCCCAACGCUCACACAUCUUCGCUGAACCAGGGUACCGCCAAAUGCCAAAGUAGCUGCAACACCAACGCCAUGCUACGCCAAACACCAAUGGCCAUAGUAGUCCGCCGGCACCGAGAGGCGUGCUCACAUAAGAAUAUGAACAAGAGAGUAUUUGACAAGCAUUGCUCACAGCAGAAUGUAAAGUUUAUAAGAUCUAAACGGAUAACCCUAGCAUUGCACAUUUAAGCUUGCGUCGUAACAUAUCACACAUGGAGUAGGAAACUUGGUAAACUCAGUUAGUAGCCCUUUUUGUUGCUUACUUGUUAGUGCUUAUUUCGAAAGAAAGCUGAAGAAAUGUGGGUAAACAUCCACUAAAUCAAUUAGGGAACAUGUGACUCAAGGCAUAUAACACAAACAGGUUCAGCAAACAUUAUUGGUUUACCAAAGUCCACCAGGAAACAUGUGCAACAAAGAAAAACAGAAAAGCAAGUCAUCUUGCAGAGAAGUAGAAGUCAACCACAGAAAUUUCUAAUCUUCUGUAAAGCACUUGCGCAGUCAAAUACAGAAUAAUGGAAUCUCAGUUUACCUACUUAAAAACCACUUGAUAUGAAAGGAAACUUUUCUACAAAGUAAUCUUGCAGAAUAAGCUCCAGAAGCUGCCAAUACUCCAUCAUGACUUGGAUGAUUUUUCGAAUCCAGAAUUAAUGGCUUAUAAUGCAUCUGAAAAGGUAGAAUACAGCUGAAUCAGUUCACUCUUGCGCACGUCAUUAACAUGUAUUAAGGAAUACUGCAAAAUCUAGACAAGAAUGGAGAAACUAAUUACAAACAGGAAAAAAAGAAGUAUUCCAUGGAUAGGCAAACUCUCUAUCGAUCAUACAUGUAUGACAAGCAGAAGUAACGGCUAUACGUUGCCGGUUGAAUCCACCCACAGCAUAAAUAAAGAUAUACCAAGUAGUUUCAUUCUCUGACACAAAAUCUGCAGAAUAGUUUGUCAUGAGGUUUCUAACUAUGAUUGAUAAACAUAAAUAGAGGUUUAUUAGGACGGAUUCUACUAACUGCAUCGCCGACACGGGGAUGAUGCACGGCUGUCAACUGCGAAAGAUGCCAAAGCACACAAAUAAAAGAGGCCACUGAGCCCAACCCGUGACACAGCACCAAACAGUGCACACGGACGAAAAGAUGGUCUCCGAGUCCAGUCGUGACCCAGCACCGAUAAGUGCGCACGGAACAAAACAAAUGCAGUGAAAUAAUCCCCUACGAGGGCACAGUCGUAAAAAAAUAGUGCAAUUGCAUCCCCUGGGUUGGCAUGUGCUAUACAUUAGCACGGGGCUUUUUGUUCAAAUUCCUUUUUUAAAGAUUUUUUCAACACAACACCUCUUGUAUCCUUGCCUUGUCGGUUGUCGCUCAUCACUUGAACAACUCCAGCACCGCCACCAUCGCCGGGAUGCAGCUCUAACAGCAAAAACCGGAAGCCAACCAUGGCGACUAGCGUGUCUGGCUGCGGCGGCCAUGGAGAGGAGCGCUUGAAGCCAGCCAUGGUGUUCAAUCGCAGCUGCCAUGAGGUUCAUGAGCCAUAUCCGGACCUCCUGCAGCAAUCAGAAUCGAGAAAAAUUUCAGUAACAUAUUGCUGUCUCUGGAUUCGGAAAUGCCUAAAGCAAGAAUUACAUCGAACUUCAAAUAAGAAACACGGACUUCCCUUAUUCAAAAUGAAAGUAAUUUCCAACGGAAAUAACAGCCCUACAAAUUCAAAUAAGAAACACCAAGGAAAAAAAGCCUGCCUAUGAAACGGCCCUGUUCCGUUCCUUGGAGUCUGCCUAUGCUCUCCGCGCUCUUGCCCUUCGCCAUAUUAGAUCAAUGUUCAGCAUCAGUAAUAGUACGGCAGCAGAAUUUUAACUUGCCUAAAAUAAAGUCUACUGCUUGGUGAGAAAAUGUAGCAGUAGCAAACGAAACCUCAAGCAGAUUAAACAUUUACUAUAGUACAUGGACUUCUCGUAACCACAGAAUUACCAGGCCAUCAGUAACAGCUCGGCAGAACAUGAGAAAAUGUCAAAGACAAGGAUCACCAUUUUCAGGAAAUAAAAACAGUGAGCAUAUUACAGAAGUUAGAAGUAAUGUAAACAGUGAGCAUACAGCUAGCUCUAGUGUCACCAACUAGGAUAAUUACCGAUGCUUCACAUUCACUUCCAUGUCAAUCACUUAAGUGGAGAUAAAACUGAAACUUCCUUGCUAUAACAACCACAACAUAUUAACAAAAAUGAGCGAUGCAGCUCUAUACCUACUAAGAAAAUCCAUCAACACGCACACACUCAUCAGAUUCCGACACAAUAUAUAUGUAUCCCACAUGACUGAGUUACAUGUGUGGAUGUGCUUCCAUACAGCCAGCAAUCAAGACAUCCUCAUGUCCCUUAAGCAAGACAGGACUUGCACAAUGGUUGAAUGUGAAAGAUAUUCUCGUGAAAAUAUCUCUCGCGGCCUGCAGUGAGAAAAUAGAACAAAUUAUCCAACUGCACAGCAUAUUCCUAUUCUUGUCUAGCUAUUAAAAUGUAAAACAAAAAAUAAUUAUCAGGUGUUCAUAGUCUAAAAUCUGUUGCUUAUACUAUUUACCUGUAUCAACAUGUACUGAUAAAAUGCCAUGGAUAUUUGCACAGCUAUCAAGCAAAACAGCAUCAUAUAUAACUUCCAUAUUUGCACAGCUAUCAACUAAAGCAGCAUUAUAUAUCAACCCAGCAUUUUUUUAAGAAUCUUCUACUAACAGAAAUAAUUCUUUAGGAUAGUGCUAACCAGAUCUCUGUAGCCAAAUAAUAAGAGCCUGAGUCAUGUCCAAAUUACCACAAUCAGAGAACCAACAUUAUCCUUUUUGCUUACUAGUUUCAUUAUAUAUGCAAAACAUAUGGAUAAGCAACCUGGAAAUAUUCGCGCAUUUCAUCAUGAUGGCAAAGAAGUAGUGAUCUUUACCUUGAUCAAACAAGGAGAGCAGUUACUUCAUUUGCUAAUCCUAUUCCAUUCUAGCCGGUGCAUGCAGAGUCAAAUUCCAACUAAUAGUAUCAUCAUUUUAAGAUCUGUAACCUCCUCUUACUGCACGUAUACAACGAGUUCAGAUAUAUUACAACACAAGUGGUAUGCAUUGCUCGUAGUUAAUAGUAGCAUUGCUCACAUAAGAAUAUGAACAAGAGAAAGUAUUUGACAAGCAUUGCUCACAGCAGAAUGUAAAAUUUAUAAGAUCUAAACGGAUAACCCUAGCAUUGCACAUUUAGGCUUGGGUCGUAACAUAUCACCGAUAGAGUAGGAAACCUGGUAAACUCAGUUAGUAGCCCUUUUCGUUGCUUACUUGGCACUGCUUAUUUCGAAGGAAAGCUGAAGAAAUAUGGGUAAACAUCCACUAAAUCAAUUAGGGAACAUGUGACUCACGGCAUAUAACACAAACAGGUUCAACAAAUAUUAUUGGUUUACCAAAGUCCAUCAGGAAACAUGUGCAACAAAGAAAAACAGAAAAGCAAGUCAUCUUGCAGAGAAGUAGAAGUCAACCACAGAAAAUUCUAACCUUCUGUAAAACACUUGCACAGUCAAAUACAGAAUAAUGGAAUCUCAGUUUACCUACUUAAAAAUCACUUGAUAUGGGAGGAAACUUUUUUACAAAGUAAUCUUGCAGAAUAAGCUCCAGAAGCUGCCAAUACUCCAUCAUGAGUUGGAUGAUUUUUCGAAUCCAGAAUCAAUGGCUUCUAAUUUCUAAUGCAUUUGAAAAGGUAAAAUACAGCUGAAUCAGUCCACUCUUGCCCACGUCACUAACACAUACUAAGGAAUACUGCAAAAUCUAGACGAGAAUGGAGAAACUAAUUACAAACAGGAAAAAAGAAGUAUUCCAUGGAUAGGCAAAAUCUCUGUCGAUCAUACAUGUAUGACAAGCAGAAGUAAUGGCUAUACGUUGCCAGUUGAAUCCACCCAUAGCAUAAAUAAAGAUUAGUUUCAUUCUCUGACAAAAGAUCUGCAGAAUAGUUUGUCAUGAGGUUUCAAACUAUGAUUGGUAAACAUAAACAGAGGAUAAGCACACAUGAAUUUUUCCUGAGUUGUGUAGAAAAAGGCCUUUAAAGACAAUAAUGAAGAGAGUACUAUUACAUAAUUGAUUUAUAUUUCCGUUUUUCCUCUCCAACUAGCGAGGUUGGGCAUAAACCGUGGAAUUAAUAACAAAAUAAAUGAGAAGAUUCAGAGUCUGGGUGCAGCGGCGACCUUGGUGUCGCGUGAAGCAAUGGUGCGAGGCCGCGGCAGAAAGCGGUGGUGCAAGGCGGCGGCAGCAGGACGCGGUGGUGUAAGGCUGCAUCGGCGGAACGCCGUGGUGCUGCCUAGGCCACUGCGGCAGGGCUGUUGGCGAUGGCUAUGCUAUUGGCGGUGCCUAGGGCUUCCUCGCUGCUCCGUCGUUGCCGUUCCGAGGGGAUGAUGGGAGCAGGGAGGCUAACUAACCUAGGUGGAGAAAAGGGAGGACCCAGCGACGACGACCGCGGCGGCCAAGCUGUUGGUGGUGGCGGCGACGACGCGCACGCAGAGGUGCUACACCCGCCAUGAGUAGCAGGAGACUCUGCGGCGAAGACACAAGAGUGGAAGGGGAACGGGCCUCGGGCCGGUGCGGGACAAGAAAUCCACCGGGCAGAUUAGUACCAUACCGAAAGUUUAAUCAGGACAUGACCAGUUUAUUAGGCCCAAUUCUACUAGAUGUAUUGCCAACACAGGGAAAAUGCACGGCUGUCGGCUGCGAAAGAUGCCAAAGCGCACAAAUAAAAGAGGCCAUCGAGCCCAACCCGUGACCCAGCACCCAAUAGUGCACACGAACGAAAAGAUGGCCUCCGAGCCCAGCCGUGACCCAGCAUCGAUAAGUGCACACGGACCAACAUAAAUGCAGCGAAAAGAUCCCCUAUGAGGGCACAGUCGUAAAAAAAUAGCGCAAUUGCAUCCCUUGAGUUGGCAAGUGCUAGACAUUAGCACUUGGCUUUUUGUUCAGAUUCCUUUUUAAGGCUUUUCCUACAAGAAAACACAUGGGAUGCAGCGGCCAUCGAGAGCAGUGCUCGAAGCCAGCCUUGGUGUCCGCUUGCACUUGCCGCGAGGUUGCUUGUAGUGGCCAGGGCACAUCGCGCGGCCAGCUUUUUGCUGCCCCUCCUCGAUGUUUGUUGCUGCGGUGAAGAAGAAAGGGGAUGAGCGAGAAAUCAAACAUUCUAUGAAAGAGUGAGAUUUCAAACAGAAUAAGAUUGCUAGAUCGUAAAAUAGGGUAGCUAGGGUAGCUCAUGGUCCUAUGAAUUAUGUAUGGACAAAUCGAAACAAUACAUGUUGGUUGCAUAGAGCUCCUUAUUUUGUUAAGGAUCUUGUAAUAGCUGAUUGCAACCCUAUUGAAUUGAAAUAAAAUCUCGGAUUCCCUACAAAAAAAGGUGGAUGAGCAGCGGAGGAGAUGGAGAUGUGCUGCUACAGCAACAAGAGAGAUAUUUCACAGGGUGGGAAAGAGAUGAGAAUAAGAAGGGCGGUGUUGACGCCCAUUGCAAGGUGGAAUGGCAGGACGCUCGGAGCUGCCUCCCAUGCGUGCGAUCUAGCCAGAUCGGACGCAUCGCGUGCGUCCGGCUCAAAGUUGUGUUGACCAGCCAUGUUCAAACAUUUUCCUUUUUUAACAUAUCAGCAAACCGUGUAACUAUCUCUUUAUAUUGUUGUCCAGGGCAGUGCUAUACAAGGUACACAGAUCAAAUUCCACGUGAAGCGCUAAUGAUAGAGGACAGAACCAUAUAGACACUUACCAGUAGCACACUCUUGUCGUUGCACACACGCGCGUCGAGUGCAGAGAGACAUCAAGACAAACGCACUAACCAACGAAGAGCAUGAUUCCACGAGAUAGGCUAGUCUCCGACUUGCAUUCUGAUCUUAGAAUAAAGCUCUCAUCAUCAUGCCCACCAGGUUCAGAGGUGUGGGUGUUGGCUAUUCUGUCGUCGUCCUUGGCGAAACAAUAGCCAGGUUGGGCAUAAACCGUGGAAUUAAUAACAAAAUAAAUGAGAAGAUUCAGAGUCUGGGUGCAGCGGCGACCUGGGUGUCGCAUGAGGCAAUGGUGCGAGGCCGCGGCAGAAAGCGGUGGUGCGAGGCGGCGGCAGCGGGACGAGGCGGCGGCAGCGGGACGCGGUGGUGUAAGGCUGCGUCGGCGGAACGCCGUGGUGCUGCCUAGGCCGCGGCGGCAGGGCUGUUGGCGACGGCUAUGCUAUUGGCGGUGCCUAGGGCUUCCUCGCUGCUCCGCCGUUGCCGUUCCGAGGGGAUGACGGGAGCAGGGAGGCUAACUGGCCUAGUUGGAUAAAAGGGAGGACCUAGCGACGACGACCGCGGCGGCCAAGCUGUUGGCGGUGGAACUUCCGGUCAAAACCCUAUCUCAAGCAUCACCCUAUCCUGUAGUACAAAGUUUAAGUUCCAUAUCAGUUCUGCACUUGUCAUUUCUUCCGGUCAAAACCCGUUCUAAAAGUUGAAUAGAAUGCUAGUUGGUGGAACUUCCCUGAUCCUGAUUACAGGUGAAAAGCUCAGUUCUGUCACUGGCCAUCUUCUCAUUUCCAGCAUGGAGAGUGAGUAAAUUAUCUGAAUAAAUGAUUUCUAAUUCGUAGAAUGGCAAAUGUUUUCUUCUUUUUCAAUAGGCUCUGCAACAGUUGGAAAACAGCUGAUAAUGUCACCACCCUGCAAUUGUGCUAAUGUGCUGAAAUGGUUGUUUGCACUACAAACCUAGCUCCAGUUACACCUGCACAAAUUCUAGCCUUAAGUAGAAUUGACCGUUCAGUAAUACUACCCCAAUGUUACUUCAUUGGCAGCUAUCUCAAGCAUCACCCUAUCCUAUAGUACAAAGUUUAAGUUCCAUAUCAGUUCUGCACUUGUCAUUUCUUCCGGUCAAAACCCGUUCUAAAAGUUGAACAGAGUGCUAGUUGGUGGAACUUCCCUGAUCCUGAUUACAGGUGAAAAGCUCAGUUCUGUCACUGGCCAUCUUCUCAUUUCCGGCAUGGAGAGUGAGUAAAUUAUCUGAAUAAAUGAUUUCUAAUUCGUAGAAUGGCAAAUGUUUUCUUCUUUUUCAAUAGGCUCUGCAACAUUUGGAAAACAGCUGAUAACUUGUCAAAAGUAGUUGCAGAAGACGUAACGGGUAAAUGUAUCAUCAACUACUUCCUAAAACUUGGAUAGCUUUUUCUUUAGUUUCCCCAAAAGUGAUUGAAUGAAAAGUUAUUCAUGAUUCUAUUUCCUUCAGUGUCUCACAGUGCAUUGAUCUAGGAAGAUGACUAGUGAUGUAGGAAGAUGUCAGACUGGAUGGCAAAAAAGAAAGGGAGGUGGGAUAUGCAAUCUGUAGCACUAUCUGAAUUCUUACUUGGAUUAUCAUCACUUCCCGACUAAAAUUCUUGAUCAAGUGAUACAUGCUUGUCACGGUAGUCCUGGACAUUUCCAAAAAAUUGCAAGUGAUACAUUCUUGAUCAAGUGAUUUGGAUUAUCAACUUAUAUACUUAAUUUUUGUUGGACUGUAAUAUAUUGCGCUCAACAUAUUACAGUUCCUAAAGCUUUGCAUAUUGGGCAUAAACCGUGGAAUUAAUAACAAAAUAAAUGAGAAGAUUCAGAGUCUGGGUGCAGCGGCGACCUGGGUGUCGCGUGAUGCAAUGGUGCGAAGCCGCGGCAGAAAGCGGUGGUGCGAGGCGGCGGCAGCGGGACGCGGUGGUGUAAGGCUGCGUCGGCGGAACGCCAUGGUGCUGCCUAGGCCGCGACGGCAGGGCUGUUGGCGACGGCUAUGCUAUUGGCGGUGCCUAGGGCUUCCUCGCUGCUCCGCCAGUGCCGUUCCGAGGGGAUGACGGGAGCAGGGAGGCUAACUGACCUAGGUGGAGAAAAGGGAGAACCCAGCGACGACGACCGCAGCGGCCAAGCUGUUGGCGGUGGCGGCGACGACGUGCACGCAGAGGUGCUACACCCGCCAUGAGUAGCAAGAGACUCUGCGGCGAAGACACGAGAGUGGAAGGGGAACGGGCCUCGGGCCGGUGUGGGACAAGAAAUCCACCGGGCAGAUUAGUACCAUACCGAAAGUUUAAUCAGGAUGUGACCAGUUUAUUAGGCCCAAUUCUACUAGCUGUAUCGCCAACAUAGGGAAAAUGCACGGCUGUCGGCUGCGAAAGAUGCCAAAGCGCACAAAUAAAAGAGGCCAUCGAGCCCAACCCGUGACCCAGCACCCAAUAGUGCACACGGACGAAAAGAUGGCCUCCGAGCCCAGCCGUGACCCAGCACCGAUAAGUGCACACGGACCAAAAUAAAUGCAGCGAAAAGAUCCCCUGGCUUUUCCUACAAGAAAACACAUGGGAUGCAGCGGCCAUCGAGAGCAGUGCUCGAAGCCAGCCAGGGCACAUCACGCGGCCAGCUUUUUGCUGCGCCUCCUCGAUGUUUAUUGCUGCAGUGAAGAAGAAAGGGGAUGAGCGAGAAAUCAAACAUUCUAUGAAAGAGUGAGAGUUCAAACAGAAUAAGAUUGCUAGAUCGUAAAAUAGGGUAGCUAGGGUAGCUCAUUGUCCUAUGAAUUAUGUAUGGACAACUCGAAACAAUGCAUGUUGGUUGCAUAGAGCUCCUUAUUUUGUUAAGGAUCUUGUAAUAGCUGAUUGCAACCCUAUUGAAUUGAAAUAAAAACUCGGAUUCCCUGCAAAAAAAAGGUGGAUGAGCAGCGGAGGAGAUGGAGAUGUGCUGCUACAGCAACAAGAGAGAUAUUUCACAGGGUGGGAAAGAGAUGAGAAUAAGAAGGGCGGUGUUGACGCCCAUUGCAAGGUGGAAUGGCAGGACGCUCGGAGCUGCCUCCCAUGCGUGCGAUCUAGCCAGAUCGGACGCAUCGCGUGCGUCCGGCUCAAAGUUGUGUCGACCAGCCAUGUUCAAACAUUUUCCUUUUUUAACAUAUCAGCAAACCGUGUAACUAUCUCUUUAUAUUGUUGUCCAGGGCACUACUAUACAAGGUACACAGAUCAAAUUCCACGUGAAGCACUAAUGAUAGAGGACAGAACCAUAUAGACACUUACCAGUAGCACACUCUUGUCGUUACACACACGCGCGUCGAGUGCAGAGAGACAUCAAGACGAACGCACUAACCAACGAAGGGCAUGAUUCCACGAGAUAGGCUAGUCUCCGACUUGCAUUCUGAUCUUGGGAUAAAGCUCUCAUCGUCAUGCCCACCAGGUUCAGAGGUGUGGGUGUUGGCUAUUCUGUCGUCGUCCUUGGCGAAACAAUAGGCAGGCACCUGCCAUUUCGGGUCCUUCGGCACCGUUUCUGGCAUGAAGCUCAUCACAUGUGCAAUCCACCCUACGGGGUCACAUAAAUGCCUGCAAGAUAUUACAAAUUCAGGUUUAUUUUCGAACAUUAGUGAAAAUGUCAUUUACGUUUUUAUGAACCCCCCUCCUCCCCGCAUUACAUUAUCAUUAAUGAAACCAUAUACCACAUCCAAGUUUAUAGUAGUUUAUGCUCCGAAACCCGAAGUCCAAAAAUGAAAAACCAAGUCCUGCAAGUACAUCAUUUACUAUCAGUAUGACACACUCCUUUCUUUGUCAGAGCCUUGUUACAGAUUUAUCUGUCAUGUCAUAUCGUUAGCGAUCAUUCAUGAAUCUACGGCUUUGGUCCUAUCAAGAGAUAGAGGCAAAGCCAAAUGUCUUACUGGUCCUGGUUCAAGUUUACGACCAAAUUAAACAUGUAUGUAAAUAAUGUUACCUCCUGGUUGCUCAAGAUCUAUUGUAUGCAUUGUGCUGCUUUUAAUUGAUAGUAUUAGUUUUAUUUUUGCGGGUAAUUGAUAGUAUUGAUAGUAUUAGUUACUAGUGUGGUAUGAGCUUCACUUAGACUAGAAGAUUUUCCUUUGUGACAAAGCAAGUUGCAGCAACUGUCUUUAUGUGUGCCUUAGAGAGAUGCCAUAAUUUUCUUAUGAUUCUAUACAAACUGAUCUCAUCAUUAACACAUUGUUCUUAUUUCUAUGUUUGACUUAAGAAUGAUGAUAUCAAUUUUAGAUGGCACAUCCUGAUUUGAAGCCAUGACCGGCACUUGAUCCUAACGACCGAGCCAUAUCUUCUAUUGCACGGAAGCAACAUUGGAACUGUCCAGGCAAAUGAUUGGCAGUCCCGUCCGAGGGGCACGAGAGUGGCACCGAAGUUGUGAGUAUGAGUUUCUUGCGAGCUUGAGAAUUACAGUAUCAAUCUCCUAUUGAGCCCCUUUUAUUUAGUUCAGUUGCUCUGCACUUGGCCUCCUUGUUCCUUUGUCUGUUCUACCCUGUCAUUGAUUGUUCAAGCUCGCAAGUGAGGGUUUUUCUUUUCUAUACAAACCAUCAUCAAUUCAAAGAUUGCGUUUGAAAGAAUAAUGUCACCACCCUGCAAUUGUGCUCAUGUGCUGAAAUGGUUGUUUGCACUACAAACCUAGCUCCAGUUACACCUGCACAAAUUCUAGCCUUAAGUAGAAUUGACCGUUCAGUAAUACUACCCCAAUGUUACUUCAUUGGCAGCUAUCUCAAGCAUCACCCUAUCCUGUAGUACAAAGUUUAAGUUCCAUAUCAGUUCUGCACUUGUCAUUUCUUCCGGUCAAAACCCGUUCUAAAAGUUGAACAGAGUGCUAGUUGGUGGAACUUCCCUGAUCCUGAUUACAGGUGAAAAGCUCAGUUCUGUCACUGGCCAUCUUCUCAUUUCCGGCAUGGAGAGUGAGUAAAUUAUCUGAAUAAAUGAUUUCUAAUUCGUAGAAUGGCAAAUGUUUCAAUAGGCUCUGCAACAGUUGGAAAACAGCUGAUAACUUGUCAAAAGUAGUUGCAGAAGACGUAACGGGUAAAUGUAUCAUCAACUACUUCCUAAAACUUGGGUAGCUUUUCAUUAGUUUCCCAAAAAUUGGUCGAAAGAAAAGUUAGUCAUGAUUCUAUUUCCUUCAGAUACUAUGUGGGCAGAGUCUCACAGUGCAUUGAUCUAGGAAGAUGACUAGUGAUGUAGGAAGAUGUCAGACUGGAUGACAAAAAAAAGGGAGGCGGGAUAUGCAAUCUGUAGCACUAUAUCUGAAUCCAACAGCCAUAUCUGGACAUCCCAAACCUGUCAGAUUCACCAUUUUUAGCAAAUACAAACACUUCUGACUGACAAAUUGUGCAAAUAACUGAAAUACCAGAAGAAACAAGAACAAUAUAAAAGAGGAGCCAUAUCCACAUCUAUAAUUGUGCAGCAUGCAUACUUUGCACAGACUGAAUGCUAUUCUACUAGUAGUGAUGUACUACCUCCGUCCCAUAAUAUAAGAACGUUUUUGAUACUAGUGUAGUGUUAAAAACGUUCUUAUAUUUUGAGACAGAGGGAGUAAUUGUAGAGCGAGUUCAGUGAGUCUUAACAAAGUAUAUUCCGACAGCAUGAUACGUGGACAUUUCAUGGUUAAUGGCUGGUUGCUGCAAUUAAUCUGACCCCACCCGUCACUAUCUUGCGCAGAACAUUUUUCUUCUUUUAGUGUGUUUGAAAAGAGAAGUGUGUUAGCCGUCAGAGAAGACCUGUGAGACAAGCAGAAGUGUCAAACUUGUCCAUUGUUGACACUAGAUUUUGGCACGGUCAAGAACUUAUUUAACAUGGCCUCAAAUGGAGAAGUGAUCUACAUGAAAGAGUUCCAUAUUAUUGAUAUGAACAUCUUUGAAGUUUGGGUCAUCGUCGUUCGAUUUCAUCUCGAAGGCCGAAACUAUGCUCAAAGUACUAAGAUCUUAUAUUCAGAGUACAGUUUGGCCGAUUAAGCCCCUAAGACGACCUCAAAUGGAAAAAUGACCUACACGAGUUGUCUUCGUCUCGUCGAAACGGUCGAUUUUGAUAUAAAAAUCGUUCAAAUUCGAGUUCGUAUGCAAAAGUUAGAGCAAUCGGAGUGCAGCACUGUCACGAGGCGAGAUGUGGCGCGCCCCACCAGACACAUGUCUGAUGGGUAGCGCGAGGGAAUAGCCUAUUUUGCGAGACCGAUUUGACCCUCAAAUGACCUAUGAUCAAAAAACUUUCAACAUGAAAGUUGUUCGUCUCGUCGAAACGGUUAAUAUUGCUUUUGGGCUCGUUUUCAUCCGAGAUCGUUUACCACCACAAAAAAGACCUGCAAGGUGUAGCCAGUUUAAACCGAACAGUUUUGGAAAGUUCGGACAAAACCAAUCCGAAUUGGACUAGGGUUUUGGACGUGAAUUGAAGCCUUUUCCUUGCACGGGAAGUCCAGCCGCCUUUUAUAUACCUAAGGGAUGACGGCCGAUUGAACAACACACAAUCGACAUAUCAAUCUAUCAUCUUUUAUCUUUACCUUUACCUUCUCCCUUUGUUCUUCUUCUUCUCGUUCUUCAUUCGUUCUUCUUGUUGUAGGGCGGCGAACCUCGAGGACCUAGGGGCAGUCAGGCCGACCUAGGGCAGCCCAUAGCCGUCGCACGCCCUGACGGGGUCCCUCCCGGACGUGUGGGGUUUCGGGUCCUGAAAAGCACCCGCCGGAUUGCUUGCGUACCACGCUUCCGGACGGGUCUCCUUCAACGUGAGCUGCGGUGCAUCACCCUCGGCGUUGGAGGUACACUGUGACGUGUUCGUGUGCGAACACACUUUUUGGCGACUCCGCUGGGGACGAAGCUUUGAACGGUCUCCGGCCUAUUCUUGCUACGAAGAGAUCGUCAUCUAGGGUUUGCAAUCUACAAAGGUAAUAUGAAUUCCCAAUUCCCCUUUGUAGAUGCAAAUAAUCCAUAUGUUGUUGCUGGAUCUCCUAAUGAGCAUAAUGUAUCGACCAGCCCUAGUUUUAUCAAUCAUGCAUCUAAUUAUGCGCAAGGGCCGAUGCAAAGCAAUCUUCAUGCUUCAAAUUCUUAUGAUUUUAGCAACGUACAACAUAUGUAUCCAAACUCUCAUGCAUCGGCAACCCCACAAAUCCAUAUGCCGAUGAACAACAUGAUGCGUUUGGUUAAUCAAUUUGAAACACCUCAUGUUAAAAUUUCCAAUAGCAUACAAGAAAGUAUUUCACCUUUUUAUUCAUCGGCAACUAAUUUGCAAUAUGUGAAUCCAACCUUGUCGAUGGAUGGGAGAAUUGGCCAUGCUACUACUAGCUAUUCGGCCAAUUACUCUCAACCAUCAUAUGGUACACCUCAUGUUAGUAAUUUGUCAGCACCGUAUGCAACUGUAGAUGUUCAUAAUUCGACCCCGCAUCUUCAUGGUCAUAGCCGAAUAAGUGAAAAUUUUACAGGAACACAUGUGCCGUCAUCAAAUACUGUAGCAUAUAAUGCAUACUCUACGCAAUUCAAGAAUUUCAACAACACUCACGAAUCAUUGCUGAAAGAAUCUGAAAGUAUUGCGGAACAAUUCCUUCCAGAAGCGGUUGUGGCUGCAUUAAAAAAGAGCUUGGCACAAGACAAGAGAAUUAGUGCUCUUUGCCUUGAACAAUAUGAAAAGGGGUUGUUUCCUGAUUAUGCUGCAAUAAAGGCUAGAGUUUUGCAGGAAGAUGAAACUUCAUCGAUUGAUAGUAUUGUUGAGAGAGCAUAUGGUUAUACAGCAGUGCAUACACCUCCACCUAGUAUUGCAGCAUAUUAUGCAUCCCUUACACAAUUGCAAAAUUUCGGCAACACUAACACUUCAUUACCGAAAGAUCCUAAAAGCAUUGGGGGGCAAACUAAUCCAGAGCGGGCUAAAAUUGAGAGGGGAGUUAAAGCUUUGCGCGAUAGGGUGCAAAUAUUUCGCCAAGAAAGAAUUGAUAGGGAAUUAGCUCAAAGAAAAGAAGCCUUACCAAUUGAUAUAACUGGUGAAAAGAAUGAUGAUUCGGAAACUAAAAGUGCUUCGGUUGAAAAAGCCGAAUCAAGUAGUAUAUAUUCCGAAUCCAUCAAAUCCAAGGAAGCAAACAUUGUUGAGAAAGGGCAUGGAAAGUAUAGCAAGACAGCCAUACUUGACUUUUCUGAAGUUAAUGGAACCUACUUCCUGCCCUAUGAGUUUCGUGCCAUAAAAAUUGAUAAGCUUCAAGAACAAGAACAAGUGGCCAAAGAAAGCUUGGUGGACGAAGUUCUUCGAACUAAUGAUGCACGAAAUCAAGAUAAAGAUGAUGACAUGGCAUUGGGGAGCUAUCCGAAGGCGGAGCAAGAUAUUCUUCAAGUCACACCACCAUCACGCUCUCCCAACAUAUUUGAAGAGGUAUGUCUAUCAAUUAAUUUACCUGUUUUCAGAUUUGGUCAUGACUUUGUUGUUGAUGCAUAUAUUAGAAAAAUAUUCAUAAGAAAUAUUGAGAGACCAAUGAAGAAGGGUAAUUUAUUUGUUAACAAUCAGAUUGUCACAAAGCAUAUCGGUCAACACAUUACACCAUUCAGAAAGACCGAUAGUGAAAAAUUAUUGCAGCCAAGGCUUUCCCCAUUGCUUUAUCUAAAGUUCAUAUCUAAUUGGGUAGAUUUGCUUAUUUCUUACUUGGAUUAUGUCGUGGUUCUAACUCUGACAGUGAUGUAGGGGGGUAUGUAUGGAGAGGCUAGAUCUUAGCUAUGGAGGAGUUGUAAGCACACGAGGAUUACGAGUUCAGGCCCUUCUCGGAGGAAGUAACAGCCCUAGGUCUCGGUGCCCGGAGGCGGUCGACUGAAUUAUGUGUGUAUGAAUAACAGGGGUGCCAACCCUUGAUACUGAGGAGGGGGGUGGCUUAUAUAGAGUUCGCCAGGCCCCUCCAGCCCUCAGUAAUGCAAGGUUUAAAGUACAUUAAGAUUGGGGGUUACUGGUAACGCCCCUAAUAAAGUGCUAUGAUGACCAUAAAAGCUACUUAAUGACCGACCGUUUGUGUGCAGGGUGACUUUAGAUCUCCUGGCAGUCGAGUGGUUGGAAUUUGGUCAAGUGAUUGCUUCGUGGUCGAGUGUCUUGAAUCUGUCGAGUGGGAUACCUCCAAGUCGAUUGAAAGGUGACUUCUUCUAGGGAUGUCCUUGGGUAGGGUACUUAGGAUAGGUCCAUGCCCCUAUCCUAGGUACAUAGCUUCAUCAUUAGCCCCCGAAUGGAUCGAGGUUCGAGUGGGGAAGGAGUUGGGGAUAUUUCCGACUGGUUCUUCAUGUUAUAUGAACGUCUUGUUUUGGAUCAAUUGUCACGGACGACGUCGUCAACUUCUUUCAGUCGCCUUGAUGCAUUCUUGGCCUCUUGUCGAGUGAAUUUCAUUACUUGUGAAGUUCUGAGUGACGGUGUGAAAGGGAUCUUCUGUUUGACGAGUUGUUCUGCGGCCCGCGGAUUUUGCGGGAUUUGAAUUUCGGGAAGCGCACGGGACGGGGGCAGCCGCAGUAAUCGGAUGGGAUAGGACAGAAGCUCCUCGAUCCCUGCGCCACCUUUUUUGCCACGUACCGUGCACGCGCCUGUUGCGGGAUUUGACGGGAUUGCCUGGGCCUACCAGUCAGCCAUUCGGAAGCGACCUCUUAUAAGCUGCCGGCUCGGGACUCCCGAACAGUGCGCCUUCACUUUUCCCCCUUCCUUCACAAGAUCCUCCGCCACCCCCGCUCCCACCUUGGUGCCGUAGGUCUGUUCGAGCUUCGCCGGCGACGAUGGUGAAGGAGAAGACAUCGGCUCUGCAGCGCGCGAAGAAGGCGGCGGUGCAGGGGAAGGGGAAGAAGUCCACUCGGGGCGGAUCUUCCUCGAGGACUGCUCUGCCCAAGGAUUGGAUCCAGAGCGACUGGAUGCCGUCGGUGAUUCGGCAGGAUGAUCUUGAUGAUCUGGUUGAGGGGGGAUUCAUUCCCCAUGAAUCUGCGCGUCUCCCGGGGAAAGAAGUCAAACCCCAGCCUCUUGAUGGCGAGUGCGUCCUCCUCGCCACCCAUAUCGAUCGUGGAUUCUCUCUGCCUCCUCAUCCUUUUUUCCGAAGCUUCUUGAACUUCUUCGGAGCGCGGCUCCAUCACUUUACUCCCAAUUCUAUUGUGUAUCUUGCUGCUUUUGUUUCCUUGUGUGAAAACUUCUUGGGUUGCUGCCCCCAUUGGGGACUCUUCAAGCACAUCUUCACUUGCCGCUCUCGGUCGGUCAAGAAGGCCAAGUCGAGUGACGAACGGACGCAGGUGAUCCAGCUGUGCAGGGGCCUGGCGAUCCAGAUGAGGGGGAAAAGUUCCUUUCUGUCUAUCACUUUUCCUGAGUCAGUCCGUGGGUGGCAGUCGACUUGCUUUUACUGUAAAGACCAGGUGACCCCAGGACAGUCGACUGGGCUUCCCCCUUUUUCUCUGAAUCGAGCACAAAAACCUGCCUCUCUGAAAGUGACGCCGGAGGAAAAGGCGCAAGUCAAGGUGCUGGUCGGUCGAGUGGUUCAGCUUGUCUGUGAGGGUGUGACUGGCAUGGACUUGUUGGAAGUCUUCCUUCGGAGGCGCAUCCAACCGCUUCAGGCUCGUGACUACCCGAUGUGGCUGUACUCGGGUCUCGAAGACACCACUCGGAUUCACCCAAAGGAGGUCACUGAAGAGAUGUUGGAAGGGUGGUUGUCGAGUAUCACAGGGAACAAGGACAACCCCCGAGGAGCCAGGAGGAUUCCUCCACUCGACCAAACAUACGAAGUGGAUAAGGUCUGACCUUGCGUUUCCGACUGUGAUCUUGCUUUCUUUAUUUGUUCUUUUUGGAUCAGUCGAUUGACUUUUGACUCGUUUGUUGUCCUCUAGGCCACUACUGAGAUGUACUCGACACCCAAUAGAGCACAGGAGCAGGCCGAGGAAGGAGAGGCGAGCGGAGGCGAAAGUGGAGACGAGGGAGAAGAGUGGGAAUCUGACGGCGAAGGAGAGGGGGAUGACGACGACGACUCCAGUGAAGAGGAGGAGGAAGAAGUCGAACCUCCCCGCUCGGAACGGCGAUCCAAGCUUACACACGACCCUGCGCGGGAACAUGGUAAGGCGACUGUCCCUGUUGGGCAGUCAUCGAAGCGCCCUCGGACGUCAUCUCCAGCGCCAACAGAAAAAGCUCCCAAGCACUCACGCGCGGCGCCGUCCAAGCCGCCCAAGGCUCUGCCCAAGAUGAAGAUGACUGUCCCCACCAUUUCUGGGUAAUAGUAGAAUUUGUUUUCCUUUGUCGAACGUGACGGACUCUUGGUCGACUCAUUGAAUAAGCUGACUGACUUUCGAAAUUUGCAGUGCUGCCACCUCGGAGAUCUCCGCCAAGGACGAUGAUCAAGAGAUGGAAGACACUGUUACCUCCAACCCCGGUACGAUUACUGAUGCUCUGCUUUUAGUCGACUGACGAUUUCUUAUAAUUCCGGUCGAUUGGAUUUUUCUUGUAGCUCCUCCUCAUGUCAUUGACCUCCCUGAUGAUGACAACGAAGUGCCGCUGAGGGCACGAAGGAACAGGAGGGCGCCGGCUAGCAAGACCCCACAAACUACUCCGGCGCCUGAGCCGCAGUCCGGGAGGGUGGUGAUACCACUCGGGUUUCUGUGACCUUCGCUGAACCUCUGACGAGUGUCCGGCCUUCGACGUCGACUGCAAAUCCGCCUUCGCUUUUUGCCACACACCACGUCCCUGAGGACCAAGUGGGUGCCGCUAAAGAGGCUAUACGCUAGGUGGGGAUCAUGAUGGAGCAAGUGAAGGUGGUUUGGGAAGCCAGCCAAGCAGCUUAUGACGCGAGCUCAGCUCUUCAGAGCAACGUCCAGGUCAGUCGGUUCACCGCUUGUUCUGUUAGGAUAUGCUAUCUGAAGAAUCUCUUUUCCGAAGAUCUUGAUAUCUGUACGCCCACUGGGUGUGUCUAUUAAUCUUUUUGACGAGUGGGGGCACGCUAAGUGCACCCACUGGGUGUAGUCCCCGAGACUACGGUGGACUGCUGGCAGUCGACUAUAGUCUUUAUAUUGUGUUGCUUUAGCUGAACUUCUUCACUCGGUCUGGUCAGGCCUUGAUUUUUUUUGGUCGAACUAGUGGGGGCACGCUGAGUGCACCCACUGGGUGUAGUCCCCGAGACUGCUGUCGAAUGUUUUUGAUUCGACUGUAGUCUUAGAAACGCCAUCAUUGUCUCUUGGUUACUCGGAAGCAACUUAUCUUGGAUGUCUGUCAACUGAUUUUUUGCAGAAAUCCUGCGAACUUGUGGCUCGCUACACUGAGUUGGAGAACAAACAUAUCCAGCUGAACCUUGACUUGAAGCUUGCUCAGGAGAACUUGCAGAAGGCGAGGGACGAAGCAAAAGGUAUGGCUGGUGAGCUUUUGUCGACUGUCCUUUCUUUCUGGUCGUCCUCGAUGUUGAUCUCACUUGUUGUUUCGCAGACAAAAUGGAGGAGGCUCUGAAGAAGAAGGAUCAAGACCUUGCUGAAGCGCAGAAGGAGGCCCUGAACAAAACGAAGCUUGCUGAAGAAAAACUGGCUUCAGUCGGUAUUCUUGAAAAGGAAAACUCCAGGCUGAAAACUGCUCUCGACGCGGCUAAUCGAGAGGUCAGCCGUCUGAAGAAUGGCAAUAUAGCUCUGAAUGACAAUGCAAGUGAACUGGCGGGGAAGAGGAACGAUCUGGAGGCUUAUCUCGGUGGACUCACCAAGAAGCUGUUCGUCAUUCUCGAGGGUAAUUACUCCGGCCCGACUGACUUGCAGUUACCAAAUCUGCGUAGAGCCACUGACUUAUCCUUGAAUUGUGUUUACAGAAUUCUACCAGAACUUCGAAGAGGAGACCAGUCGAGUGGAGACAGACUUGGACCCCAUCAAUUCUCCAGUGAAGGACGAGGCUGCUAUGAACGUGCUCCGACUGGUAUCUCGUGUUGCCGGCGUUGUUGACUAUCUUGCUCGGUUGAAGGUUGCGAUGUCACGGAUCGACACGUCGCUCUGGCCUAGGACGACGCUUCAGAAUGACCUCGAGUCCUUGAUGACUCGACUGAAUGAAGUCCCAGGUCGAGUGGCGGAAUGGAAGAAAUCUUCUGCUAGAUGUGGCGCUGACGUCGCUCUGUCUCUGGUCCGCGUCCACUGCAAGGAGGCGUUAGAAGAAAAGUUGGCCGCCAUCCAAGUUGCCAAUACCAGGAAGCACAACUUUCAAGACUUCAUGGAGACUUUCAUUGCUGCUGGCACUCGCAUUGCAGACGGGAUCGGCUUGGACAAGUUCGUCGCCCCUUCCAGUCCUCCGCAUGAGGAAUAAAAACUUUUAUGCUUCACUUUAAAUUUGCCUCGGAAUGCCGAGUGGAUUUUGUAACCGUUAAACUCUGUCGAGCUGGAGGCUCGAGUACUUUGAUCUGUGGUCUAGAACCUUUGGAUCUUAUCUGAACUUGAUUUAUCGUUGAAUAUCUUCAUGAAUUAUCUGUCGAGUGGAACUUGUACUUCACUCGAAAUAACUUUGUAUUUGUGGUGCAACUCCGAAGGAGAAGGUAGCAGUCGACUUGCACAUUGUCGUCCUUGCGGAUUGGGAUGUGUUCCGUACUUAGGCGAGCACUGGGCUGCAGCUAAGCCUCCGAGUGGAAGGUCUGCUCUCCACUCGGUAGGAUUUUAAAAACUUAAGUGAGUACUGGACUGCAGCUAAGCCCCCGAGUGGGAGGUCUGCUCUCCACUCGGUAGGAUUUUUUCAAACUUAGGCGAGUACUGGACUGCAGCUAAGCCCCCCAGUGGGAGGUCUGCUCUCCACUCAGUAGGAUUUUUUCAAACUUAGGCAAGUACUGGACUGCAGCUAAGCCCCCGAGUGGGAGGUCUGCUCUCCACUCGGUAGGAUUUUUUCAAACUUAGACGAGUACUGGACUGCAGCUAAGUUCCCCCGAGUGGGAGGUCUGCUCACCACUCGGUAGGAUUUUUAAAUACUUAGACGAGCACUGGGCUGCAGCUAAGCCUCCGAGUGGGAGGUUUGCUCUCCACUCGGUAGGAUUUUUAAACACUUAGGCGAGCACUGGGCUGCAGCUAAGCCUCCGAGUGGGAGUCUGGCUCACCACUCGGUAGGAUUUUUAAACACUGAGGCGAGCACUGGGCUGCAACUAAGCCUCCGAGUGGGAGUCUGGCUCACCACUCGGUAGGCUUUUUAAACACUUAGGCGAGCACUGGGCUGCAGCUAAGCCUCUGAGUGGGAGUCUGGCUCACCACUCGGUAGGAUUUUUAAACACUUNNNNNNNNNNNNNNNNNNNNNNNNNNNNNNNNNNNNNNNNNNNNNNNNNNNNNNNNNNNNNNNNNNNNNNNNNNNNNNNNNNNNNNNNNNNNNNNNNNNNNNNNNNNNNNNNNNNNNNNNNNNNNNNNNNNNNNNNNNNNNNNNNNNNNNNNNNNNNNNNNNNNNNNNNNNNNNNNNNNNNNNNNNNNNNNNNNNNNNNNNNNNNNNNNNNNNNNNNNNNNNNNNNNNNNNNNNNNNNNNNNNNNNNNNNNNNNNNNNNNNNNNNNNNNNNNNNNNNNNNNNNNNNNNNNNNNNNNNNNNNNNNNNNNNNNNNNNNNNNNNNNNNNNNNNNNNNNNNNNNNNNNNNNNNNNNNNNNNNNNNNNNNNNNNNNNNNNNNNNNNNNNNNNNNNNNNNNNNNNNNNNNNNNNNNNNNNNNNNNNNNNNNNNNNNNNNNNNNNNNNNNNNNNNNNNNNNNNNNNNNNNNNNNNNNNNNNNNNNNNNNNNNNNNNNNNNNNNNNNNNNNNNNNNNNNNNNNNNNNNNNNNNNNNNNNNNNNNNNNNNNNNNNNNNNNNNNNNNNNNNNNNNNNNNNNNNNNNNNNNNNNNNNNNNNNNNNNNNNNNNNNNNNNNNNNNNNNNNNNNNNNNNNNNNNNNNNNNNNNNNNNNNNNNNNNNNNNNNNNNNNNNNNNNNNNNNNNNNNNNNNNNNNNNNNNNNNNNNNNNNNNNNNNNNNNNNNNNNNNNNNNNNNNNNNNNNNNNNNNNNNNNNNNNNNNNNNNNNNNNNNNNNNNNNNNNNNNNNNNNNNNNNNNNNNNNNNNNNNNNNNNNNNNNNNNNNNNNNNNNNNNNNNNNNNNNNNNNNNNNNNNNNNNNNNNNNNNNNNNNNNNNNNNNNNNNNNNNNNNCUGGGCUCCAGCUAAGCCUCCGAGUGGGAGUCCGGCUCGCCACUCGGUAGGAUUUUUAAAAACUUAGGCGAGCACUGAGCUGCAGCUAAGCCUCCGAGUGGGAGGUUUGCUCUCCACUCGGUAGGAUUUUUAAACACUUAGGCGAGCACUGGGCUGCAGCUAAGCCUCCGAGUGGGAGUCUGGCUCACCACUCGGUAGGAUUUUUAAACACUUAGGCGAGCACUGGGCUGCAGCUAAGCCUCCGAGUGGGAGUCUGGCUCGCCACUUGGUAGGAUUUUUAAACAGUUAGGCGAGCACUGGGCUGCAACUAAGCCUCCGAGUGGGAGUCUGGCUCGCCACUCGGUAGGAUUUUUAAACACUUAGGCGAGCAUUGAGCUGCAGCUAAGCCUCCGAGUGGGAGUCUGGCUCACCACUCGGUAGGAUUUUUGUUUACAAACUUAGGAGAAACGGAUUCGCAGCUAAGCCACCCACUGGGGGAUUUCACACGCAGACAAAAGCAACAACAAUUAUAGGAAAAUUUGUAACACUUUUGUCUUUGAUAAAUAGACUACAGAAGUUUUUCUUAUUACAUCUCAUCUGAGUGAGAAUUCAAGUGUGAAAGGGGCGGAGCAGUUCUGCAUUCCAAGCUCAUGGCUCAUCGAUCUGGCGAUCGACAUUGUAAAGGUGAUACGCUCCAUUGUGGAGGACUCUGGUGACGAUGAAGGGACCUUCCCAAGUAGGAGCGAGCUUGUGUGGUUUCUGUUGAUCCACUCGGAGGACCAAAUCUCCUUCUUGGAAGGCUCGACUCUUCACAUUUCUGGCAUGGAAUCGACGCAAGUCUUGCUGAUAAAUGGUCGAUCGGAUCAUAGCCAUUUCUAUUUCUUCUUCCAGGAGGUCGACUGGGUCUUGCCGGGCUUGUUCUGCUUCAUCUUCGGUAUAAAGCUCGACUCGGGGUGCAUUGUGAAGUAGAUCACUCGACAGGACUACUUCCGCUCCGUAAACCAGAAAGAACGGAGUUCUUCCAGUCGACCGAUUCGGGGUAGUCCUCAAUCCCCACAGAACCGACGGAAGCUCGUUGACCCAAGCGCCUGCUACGUGCUUGAGAUCACGCAUCAGCCGAGGCUUUAGUCCUUUGAGAAUCAGACCAUUUGCCCUUUCUGCUUGUCCAUUCGACUGGGGGUGGGCGACCGAUGCGUAGUCGACUCGUGUGCCUUGAGAGGCGCAAAAAGCUCUAAACUUGUCUGAAUCAAAGUUUGACCCAUUUUCGGUGAUGAUGCUAUGCGGGACUCCAUAUCUGAAUGUUAACUCUCUGACGAAACUGAUAGCAGUGCAAGCAUCAAGAUUCUUGAUAGGCUUGGCUUCAAUCCAUUUGGUAAACUUGUCGACUGCCACAAGCACAUGUGUGAAACCGCUCCUGCCUGUUCUCAAUGGGCCAACCAUGUCCAGUCCCCAAACAGCGAAGGGCCAGACGAGUGGAAUGGUCUUCAGGGCUGAUGCAGGCUUGUGCGACAUGUUGGAGUAGAACUGGCACCCUUCACACUUGUCGACUAUCUCUUUUGCCAUCUCAUUGGCUCUUGGCCAGUAAAAUCCCGCUCGGUAUGCUUUAGCCACAAUGGUCCGAGAGGACGCAUGAUGACCACAGGUCCCCGAGUGCAUAUCAUCAAGGAUUAUCUGACCUUCUUCUGGUGUUAUACACUUCUGACCGACUCCAGUCACGCUUUCUCUAUACAACUGUCCCUUUAUGACUGUAAAGGCCUUGGAUCGACGGACAAUUUAUCGAGCCUCUUCUUCAUCCUCCGGGAGUUCCUUUCUCAGGAUAUACGCGAUGUACGGUAUCGUCCAGUCAGGGGUGAUUGCCAAAACUUCCAUGAUUAGGUCGACCACUACCAGAAUUUCAACUUCAGUCGGAUAUGUGGCACUCUUUGGCUGUGGGGCUUCAUCUGUAAAAGGAUCGUCUUUGACUGAUGGCGAGUGGAUGUGUUCCAAAAACACAUUGCUGGGGAUGGCUUCUCUCUUGGAGCCUAUCUUUGCCAAAUCAUCAGCCGCUUGAUUUUUCAAUCGGGGGAUGUGAUGAAGCUCUAACCCCUCGAAUUUCUUCUCUAACUUUCUCACUACAUUGCAAUAACCAGUCAUAGAUGGACUUCUGACGUCCCAUUCUUUCAUCACCUGAUUAACCACCAAAUCUGAGUCGCCAUAAACCAUGAGGCGACGGACGCCGAGUGAAAUGGCCAUGCGCAACCCAUACAACAUAUUCUGCUUCGUUAUUGGAGAAAUCGAAGUGAAUCUGGAGAACAUAUCUGAGCUUAUAUCCUCGGGGGGAAACCAAUACUACCCCAGCACCGGAACCAUUCAGCAUCUUAGAUCCAUCGAAGAACAUGGUCCAGUGCUCCGAGUGAACUUGAGUCGGAAGUUGCUGUUCGAUCCACUCGGCGACAAAAUCUGCAAUUGCUUGGGACUUGAUAGCUUUCUUUGCCUCAAACUUGAUAUCUAGGGGAAGAAGUUCAAUCGCCCAUUUGGCCACUCGACCAGUUGCAUCUCUGUUGUGCAAAAUCUCUGAUAGUGGAGCGUCACUAACGACUGUAAUGGGAUGAUCAGAGAAGUAAUGUGCAACCUUCUUCAUGGUCAUAUAAAUCCCAUAUACAAGCUUCUAGUAAUGAGGAUAUCUUUUCUUUGAAGGAGUCAAAACUUCAGAAACAUAAUAUUCUGGGCGCUGAACUUUGAAGGCCUUUCCUUCUUCUUCCCGCUCGACCAUAAGUAUUGUACUGACAACUUGUCCUGUGGCUGCAAUGUAAAUCAGCAAAGGCUCCUUGCUGAUUGGGGCAGCAAGCACCGGCUGGGUGGAGAGCAGAGCUUUGAGCUCUGUAAACGCUGCAUCAGCUUCUGGAGUCCACUCAAACUUGUCGGACUUCUUCAUCAGUCGGUAAAGAGGCAAUGCCUUUUCACGGAGGCGAGAGAUGAAUCGACUUAAAGCGGCCAAGCAUCCUGUAAGCUUAUGGACGUCAUGCACACGCAUAGGACGUUUCAUCCGGAGUAUAGUACCAAUUUUUUCAGGAUUGGCAUCGAUUCCCCGUUCGGAAACGAGAAAACUGAGUAACUUCCCACCUGGGACUCCAAACGUGCACUUUGACGGAUUAAGCUUGAUAUCAUACCUCUUGAGGUUGGCAAAGGUUUCAGCAAGGUCAGUCAGCAGGUCAGAACCCUUCCCUGACUUGACCACAAUAUCAUCCAUGUAUGCCUCCACAUUCCGACUGAUUUGAGUGAGCAAACACUUCUGAAUCAUCCUCAUGAAUGUGGCUCCGCCAUUCUUGAGGCCGAACGGCAUGGUGACAUAACAGAAGCACCCGAAUGGAGUGAUGAAAGCUGUUUUGAUCUCGUCGGGCCCGUACAGACGGAUCUGAUGGUACCCAGAAUAGGCGUAUAGGAAAGACAAACACUCACAUCCCGUAGUCGAGUCGACUAUCUGGUCGAUGCGGGUGAGAGGAAAAUGAUCUUUCGGGCAGGCCCGAUUGAUAUGCUUGAAAUCAAUGCACAUGCGAAGUGACUUGUCCUUCUUGGGGACCAUGACAACAUUGGGGAGCCACUCGGAGUGGUAAAUUUCUCGGAUGAACUCCGCUGCUAAGAGCCGAGCCACCUCCUCGCCAAUGGCCUUCCUCUUCUGGACGGCGGACCAUCGAAGAUGUUCUUUCACAGGUUUAAAUUUUGGGUCGACUCGUAGACGGUGCUCAGCCAGCCCCCUGGGAACUCCAGGCAUGUCAGCAGGCUUCCAUGCGAAGAUGUCCCAGUUCUCACGGAGGAACUGGAUGAGCGCUUCUUCCUAUUUGGAGUCGACCGUCGUUGAGAUGUGAGUCGGAGCAGCGUUUGGAUCGGUCGGGUGAAUGUGAACUGCCUUCGUUUCACCGGACGACUGAAAAGCUGAUUCUGAAGCAGGCUUCUUAGCUGGUAGCAACUCACUCGGAUCUGCAGUCUUCUAAUACUCUUGCAGCUGGACCACCGCCAUCUGAGCGUCAGCAAUCUUUGAGCCUUUCUGAAAACACUCUUCUGCUUUCUUCCGAUUGCCUGUAACAGUGAUCACACCUUUGGGACCAGGCAUCUUCAAUUUGAGAUACACAUAACAUGGUCGAGCCAUGAAGCAUGCAUAAGCUGGCCUGCCCAAAAUAGCGUGAUAAGCACUUUGGAAAUCCACAACUUCGAAUGUCAACUUUUCCUUGCGGUAAUUCUUGGAAUCACCGAAAACCACAUCAAGAGCAAUUUGGCCGAGUGACUCGGCUUUCUUCCCAGGAAUGACUCCAUGGAAACUCAUGUUACUGGUGCUGAGCCUGGACAUCGGAAUGCCCAUCCCUUUCAAUGUUUCUGCAUACAGUAUGUUCAAACCGCUGCCUCCAUCCAUCAGGACUUUGGUCAGUCGAGUGCCUUCGACAACUGGGUCAACCACCAGAGCUUGCCUCCCAGGGGUGGCAAUGUGCGUAGGGUGAUCAGACUGGUCGAAUAUGAUGGCAGUCUGGGACCACUUCAGAUAAUUGGGUGUUGCCGGAGCAACCAUAUUUACCUCAUGGUUAAUAACCUUCAGUCGACUUUUGCUCUCAACAUCAGCAAAAAUCAUCAGGGUGGAAUUGACCUGGGGGUACCCAUCGUCACUAUCUUCCUUGUCCUCAACUUUGUCCGACUCCUUUUCCUUAUCUUUGGACUGCUUGCCGUGAAACUGCUGGAUCAAAAGCCGACAAUGUCGAGUGGUAUGCUUUGGGUAAAUGAGUUUACCCUCUUCAUCUUUCUUGGUGUGGAUGUGACACGGUAGAUCCAAAACAUCAUUUCCAUCUUGGUCUUUAACUUUCUUGGGGUUCCAAGGUCCUUUGGGUUUUCCCUUAAAUUUUCCCUGGGUUACGGCCAGGGCCACCCCAGGAGCGGCUGGCUCGGCUUUCCGAUUCUGUUUCCAACUGGAAUUUCCUCCAGUUUCCUGGGCGACUGAUUUAUGCUUGCCACUCUGGAGUCGAUCCUCAUCUUCACCAUUAGCGUAUUUGGUGGCAAUCUCCAUCAUCCGAUUCAGAGACAUCUCUCCGGUUCGACCGAACUUCAGACUCAAUUCUCUAUACUUAACGCCUUCUUUAAAGGCACAAACUGCUUGAUGAUCUGGUACAUUUUCAACUGUGUGAUGCAAUGUGAUCCACCUCUGGAUGUAAUCCCUCAGAAUUUCAUUCGGUUUCUGCAUGCAAGACCGCAAUUUCGUAAGGCCUGCAGGUCGCUUGCAUGUUCCUUCAAAUGCGGUGACAAACACUCGGGAGAGAUCCUCCCAAGUGUAAAUGCUGCUGGGUGCUAACUGAUUCAGCCACGCUCUGGCCGAGCCUUCUAACAUGAGAGGCAGGUGCUUCAUGGAUACCUCAUCGUUCCCACCGCCAAUCUGGACAGCCACUCGGUAAUCUUCGAGCCAAGUAUCGGGCUUGGACUCACCGGUGAACUUACUAACUCCAAUCGCCAACCUGAAGUUGGGAGGAAUUACAACGGCUCUGAUGGCUCGACUGAAACACUCCGGCCCUGAAACAUGUACUCUGCUACUGGUAGGCGCAUCUCUGUCGUGGCCUUCUCGAUGAGAUCUAUUCCUGUCGACCAAACCUUGAACGAGAAUGGAUCUCGCAUCAAAGCCUGGUUCCCUGGGGUCGACUGGAAUUCUCCGCCCAACACUAUGAGGGCAUCUGUCAACCUGCUGUCAAGGCACAUAUGAUCCACUCCUCGGGGGAGGGGUUGGCACUCGACAUCGAUCAUCACGAUCGAAUCGGUGAUCAUACUGCUCAUUCCUUCUGUACUGAUCACGCCGGUCUCCACGUCCCUCACGCCUCGGAGGCGAUCUUGGGCUGUGAGCCGACUGGACUGUGUCCGCUGCAACGGAUCGACUGUGGAUCCUGUUCCGCGACUGAGAAACAGCAGAAUUCUGGUCUCCCGUUGCCCGGAGCAACGCUCUAAUUCGAAACAAGCCUCUGCCAGCCUCUGACUGGGAGGGCGGAAUCGACUCUGCUAUAUGGGCCGCAGCCGCCAAAUUCUGAAUCGGAGUAUGAUAUACGUGCGGGGGCGGAAAGAGUUGACGUCGACUAGAUUCUGGAGCCCGUUGACGCGCUCGCCCAUCGAGUAUUCGCUGGAGAUUCUCCAGUCGAGUGCCCUCGGCCAAGUUAGCCAAGCGUGCGUCCUCCAAGGCUCGGGCCUCGGGGGUUUCUCCAACAAUAGGAGUGUGGAGUGCAUCCAUGUUCCGGCGGCGAAGUUCCUCCCGCUGCAACGGCGUGAGAGGCUCGGGGAGAUACUCCUCGUGAGGACACGACGGGUCGCCCCCAUCCGCGCCUCCGUCAGCGCGGGGGAAACCGGGAGGACUAUGUGGCACAUCGAUCACCAGAACCUCUGCAACUGGGUCACUGCUGUCGCAUUCGGAUGCGGUCUCUACGGAGCCAGUCGACAGGUCGAACAGGCCGUAGAGGGAUUCGUCGGGCUCGAUUGCCGCGACUUGUGGGGUGGCCGACUGGCGUGCCACGCAUGCCUCACCCACCUCUGAAGCCUCGACCGACCGGAGCGCUUGCGCCGGCGAGAAACAGGGGGGAGAUGCCACGGGAGCCGACCGAUACUGGGUCGAUGGCUGCCGCAGGAGGACACCACGGACGCAUGCGCGAAAGUGCGUUGCCUCGCGGACGGGGAGCGCGUCGACGUCGAGUGGAGCCUCCUGAAGCCAAGCGGAGUCGUCGGCGAUGAACGUGAGCGCGCCGAGAUGGAUCUCGCGUCCCUCCACCAAAGCUCCGCCCGAAACCAUGAUCAAGGAGAUCGGAAAAAGUCGCAACUUCUCAAACUAGGCGCUAAGACUCCUAGCCCCAUGGUGGGCGCCAACUAUCGUGGUUCUAACUCUGACAGUGAUGUAGGGGGGUAUGUAUGGAGAGGCUAGAUCUUAGCUAUGGAGGAGUUGUAAGCACACGAGGAUUACGAGUUCAGGCCCUUCUCGAAGGAAGUAACAGCCAUACGUCUCGGUGCCCGGAGGCGGUCGACUGAAUUAUGUGUGUAUGAAUAACAGGGGUGCCAAUCCUUGAUACUGAGGAGGGGGUGGAUUAUAUAGAGUUCGCCAGGCCCCUCCAGCCCUCAGUAAUGCAAGGUUUAAAGUACAUUAAUAUUGGGGGUUACUGGUAACGCCCCUAAUAAAGUGCUAUGAUGACCAUAAAAGCUACUUAAUGACCGACCGUUUGCGUGCAGGGUGACUUUAGAUCUCCUGGCAGUCGAGUGGUUGGAAUUUGGUCAAGUGAUUGCUUCGUGGUCGAGUGUCUUGAAUCUGUCGAGUAGGAUACCUCCAAGUCGAUUGAAAGGUGACUUCUUCUAGGGAUGUCCUUGGGUAGGGUACUUAGGACAGGUCCAUGCCCCUAUCCUAGGUACAUAGCUUCAUCAGCUUACACUUGGUCUCAAUUGAGACAUGUAUGUUCUAACUAUUUUCGUUUCAGAAAUUUAAAGCCAAGGUUAAAAUCUUCUUAGCAAACCGAUGCAAGUAUAGUUUCUCAUCCAAUGACAUCGGUAAGAGAAUGCAAAAUAAAAUUCAUAGCCGAAUGGGGUGAUACAAAAUCUGAACCAUUCAUUUGCUUAACUCCAAAGCUGUUCUCACAGCAAGAUCGGCUAGAAAAUAAAAGUUUGCCUUCAAUUCAAACAUGUGUGAUCAAAUAUUUGAUUUGUUGCUGAAAAAUAAUUACAUAAGAAUUCUUGAUCACCAUGUCAAGCCAUCAAUUCAAGGAUGAAUGUAUUGUAGGUUGCAUCAUUCGUUCAAACAUGAUUUUGAGGAUUACAAUAUGUUUCGUCAAAUAGUUAAAUCGUCCAUUGAUAAAGGACGAUUGAAAUUUGUUGAGACACCAAGAGAUGACCAGUCUAUUCCGAUUGGUCCCGAUGGCAGACAGUUUUUGCAUCGGCUGCUUCAAGCCGAUCCAUUUAAAAAGAAGGUAAAAAUUGCAGGUGAUGGGAUCGAGUUUUCAAGUAAAGAAUUUGUUGAAAAGCAUAAUGAACAUAAUCUUGAGGGCAAAAAUUCCAUCGAAGCUACAAUGGAGACGCCAAGGACUGGGGGCAGCAAGCAAAUCCAAUGAUCUGUGAAAGCAAACCAAAAGAAAACAAAGGCCGAAAUAAGCGCAAGUGUAAGAGAUCAAAAAUCACCUUCGCUGAACUAUUGGAUAAAUAUCAAAAGAAGAGUGAAGAGAAGAAUGCUUAUCGGCCAAAUCAUGCAAAGAAACCAAGAUCACCCCCAAGGCGCAAAUAUGAGGAUCGGUAUUGGCAAAGUGAUAAUUUUAAUGCAACAUAUUCAUAUCCUUAUUUUUGGCCGCCAAUGCCAAUGCCGUGGAUGCCUCCCUAUGUUCAUAUAGAUCCAUAUUCAUUAUGGGACAGGUAUGAUACAAGGGCACAUUCUCCAUCUUAUUUUAGACCAUCUCACCAAUAUUAUGCAUCUCCGAGAAGAUCAACAUUUGAACAAUCACAUGUUAAAGACCGUUUCAAUCGUAACGAAUCGGUCCAGAGCUCAAGGAAGAAGAAAGAGGCGGUAAAGCAAGUUUACCGCGUGAAAAGAGAUGGUCGUAAGUGUGCUACUUAAGAUUUGAUCUCAAAUAACAAAGAGCCAAUUAAAGUGUUGACAUUGGCUACAAAAGGCAAAGAAGUGAAGAAAUCAAUUGAUAAAAAUCAGAGUACCAAAUCUGAAGAAAAGAGGUUGAGGGUGCACAAGGCCCAAAACGAGUUGCCAUUGGUUGAAACAAAAUCACAGCCGACAUGCUCACUCGGCUUAUCAUAUUGGCAAAAGAAGAAAUUACAAAAUCUUAGUGCACAAGAGCUGAGAAAGAAGAAUAUGGCAUGGGUUCCCAAGAAGAUCAAUCAAGACAAAAAUGAUGUGCAUGCUUCUAUUGCAAUAAGUGCAAUAAAAGUGAAGAAGGAAAAGAAUAAAGCAACAAACAAUUAAGCCGAAGGUGCGCAUCACAACAUCAAAAUCUUCGGUUAGCACAUCAUCCAUUUUCUUCAGCCAUGCCGUUGAUGCCUUUGCCAUGGAAUUCAUCCCUAGGUAUGAUCAAUUACCCUCCAUGGAUUUUAUUUUGAUCCAUGGAUGCAGCAUAAUUUUCUAUAUCACGAGAGGGUAUUACCAAAUCACUAUACAUUUGGUUAGUUAUAUCUUUGUUGCUAAUACAAAGGGGCCGAAAUAUUUUAUUGCUAUUUCAUUUGUUUAUUUCGGCUAUACAUACUUUGGUGGGUGAAUUCUACAUGGACCUCAUGGGAAUGGCCGAUACUUAUAUAUCGCCCUAAGAAUAUCUAAGAAUGGCCGGUGUGGUAUUCUAACAUCGUCCUUAGUUUGAGUAGAGAUUGAGAUAAGUCCUUGCAAAGGAAUUUGUCAAAUUGAUGUCAUUGAAGAUAUUAUGCAUAGACCAAUUCAUCAAAAUUGCAAAGUGAAAUUAUGUUUUGAUUGGGUGAGCUUUGGCUUAUUAGUUUUCAGAAUUUACGUAAGGCCAAAUCAUGGUUGAUUUUUUUAUUGAGCAUCAUAUUGAUAUCAUGCAUAAUAUUGUUUUUAGCUUGAUCUCUCUAGUACCAUGGAGAUUAUAUAUUUAUGGUUAAAUUUGUAACAAUGGUCAAGGUGUUGGUGUUGUUUAUUUAUCUCCAUAUGAAGCUAUUUUGUGAAGCCUCAUGCCGCUUAAAAUAUUUUUGCACAAUGAUCAAAUCCGAAUAUGCAUUGUUAUUCGGAUUGGAGAUUUGCCUUGCUAUAGGUGCUAUACAUAUUGAGGCUUCCGGUGAUUCGUUAUUAGUAGUGAAACAAAUAUCCAAGGGUUAUCAAUGUUUUGACGAAUCACUUAUAGUUUAUCUUUUGGUAUGUCUAGAUGCAAAAUUUACCUUGGGUUGCAUUAAAAUUGUUUAUAUAUUUAGACAUGUCAAUUGAAGAGAGUUGGCAUAGCAAGCAUCCGGCUACCAUGUCUGUGAUGGUGUAUUGCAUAUCUAUCAAUAGCCGAUGCUUAUUCUUGCCAACAUAGGUAAGGCCGAAUUGGUGCUCACUACCUCGGCCACUAAUGAAACUUUUAUGCAGACAAAGUAAGGAUUCGAGAAAAUUCAUUGUUGAUAAUCUGCAAGAUCCUAGCAGAAGGGUGGACAAUAUGGUUGAUGGAUGGUCUUGACAUGCAUACCUAUGGAACUUUAUAGUCGGAUUAAUGAAGUUGGGAAAGUCACCCAAGCUUGCAUCAAAAUAUUCACACAAGCAAUGGCCGAUAUAAACUUAUCGUCCUAAGCAUAUGCAAAAUGGCCGAUGUAGUGUUAACAUCAUCCUUAGAGCAAGCUAUGUGCAAGUUAUUUUUCGGCACACAAGCUUUGCCGAAAAACAGGGGGACAUGUGUUGACACCAGAUUUUGGCACGGUCAAGAACUUAUUUAACAUGGCCUCAAAUGGAGAAGUGAUCUACAUAAAAGAGUUCCGUAUUAUUGAUAUGAACAUCUUUGAAGUUUGGGUCAUCGUCGUUUGAUUUCAUCUCGAAGGCCGAAACUAUGAUCAAAGUACUAAGAUCUUAUAUUCAGAGUACAAUUUGGCCGAUUAAGCCCCUAAGACGACCUCAAAUGCAAAAAUGACCUACACGAGUUGUCUUCGUCUCGUCGAAACGGUCGAUUUUGAUAUAAAAAUCGUUAAAUCCGAGUUCGUAUGCAAAAAUUAGAGCAAUCGGAGUGCAGCACUGUCACAAGGCGAGAUGUGGCGCGCCCCACCAGACACAUGUCUGAUGGGUAGCGCGAGGGAAUAGCCUGUUUUGCGAGACCGAUUUGACCCUCAAGAUGACCUCUGAUCAAAAAACUUUCAAUAUAAAAGUUGUUCGUCUCGUCGAAACGGUUAAGAUUGCUUUUGGGCUCGUUUUCAUCCGAGAUCGUUUACCACCACAAAAAAGACCCGCAAGGUGCAGCCAGUUUAAACCGAACAGUUUUGGAAAAUUCGGACAAAACCAAUCCGAAUUGGACUAGGGUUUUGGACGUGAAUUGAAGCAUUUUCCUUGCACGGGAAGUCCAGCCGCCUCUUAUAUACCUAAGAGGUGACGGCCGAUUGAACAACACACAAUCGACAUAUCAAUCUAUCAUCUUUUAUCUUUACCUUUACCUUCUCCCUUUGUUCUUCUUUUUCUCGUUCUUCGUUCGUUCUUCUUGUUGCAGGGCGGUGAACCUCGAGGACCUAGGGGCGGUUAGGCCGACCUAGGGCAGCCAUAGCCGCCGCGCGCCCUGAUGGGGUCCCUCCCAGACGUGUGGGGUUUCGGGUCCUGAAAAGCACCCGCCGGAUUGCUUGCGUACCGCGCUUCCGGACGGGUCUCCUUCAACAUGAGCUGCGGUACAUCACCCUCGGUGUUGGAGGUACACGGUAACGUAUUCGUGUGGGAACAUCCAUCUCAUCUUGUUGUCUGCUCGUUUAAUUUUCUAUACUAGUAACGCCCAACCAACCCGGAAUCUUGACCAUUCCUUCCACAUGCAGCAGCUGACUAAUCAAAAUCCAGAUGCAUGCAGUAAGCCAGUAACAAACUGGCUUGUAUCAAUUGAUCUUUUAUUUUGGGCGAUGAGCUCCUUUUGAAAACAAAAUGGGAUUUGCGCGAUGAGAACUAGGGCAGGGCCGGCCCUGGGGCAUGGGCAGGGGGCGACGGCCCAGGGCCCAGCCCAGGGAGGGGCCCAUGAUGUAGUGCACAUAUAUAAUAUAGCCAAGCAAAAAUAGGUGAGAAAAAAAUUUAUGAGAGAAGAAAAACGAGAUGAGGUAGGCCCAUCAGAUAGCAGGUAGCGAUGAGCGAAGCGUCACGCACGCCGCACGGCAGGGCCGCUCGUUUCGAUUGUGAAACAAAUCAAUCGAAGAUCUCGCGGACGCCUCACUCGUUUGUUCGUCCACUCGUCACUGUGGUCGCCUCGGUCACCGCUGUGCGCGUCGCCCGCCGUGCGGCAAUCCAGCAGCCGCAACCCGCAGCAGUACGUAUACGUAUGUAUGUGAGCAGUGAGCGCAGCCCACAGCAGUACGUAUAUGUAUCCAUGCAUAACUCUCUGUACCAUGUUCCUGAUCCAUCCCUGCAAACCCCAAUUUCAGUAAUUUCUUUUAUUUUUUAGAACGUAUUCAACUAUUCAUCCAUGAUCCAUCCUCUAAUUUAAGUGUACACGAAGUUCCAAAUUUUAAUGUAUAAUUUUCGAAUUCAAUCUUUCAUAGUAUGUAUUCAACCAUCCUUUUUUUGUCAUUCUAUGCACAUGUCUAGGGUUCUAAUCAUUUAAAUCAUCCGAUGUAUAAAUUUCUAAUUCCUUGAAUAAUUUUUUCUUCAUAAUAUUAGGACAUUAGCCCGCCAUGUUGCCUAAGAAGCAUUUGUCAGUUGCUCAAACAAGGAGAAAAAAGAUAGAAAGGGAUCUGAAGAUUCAACAACUGAAGGGUACUUAAGUAUUAUUGUUGUCGAUGGAGUCAAUUGAAUUUGGUUCUUGUUUGAGGUAAUCAUAUCAUGUUACUUUCAAUUUUCUAUCUUUUUAGUAUUUCUGUCGUAAUAUGACAUUGUCCAACAAUUAUUAUGUUUAAGUUUAUGUACCACGCACGCGCAUACAUAUAUAUGAUCUUAGGACAUAGGGACAAUGUCAUAUUAUGUCCCUAUGGCCACCCAGGUCAGGAUGGCCAUGUGCCCCUAUGUCCUAAGAUCAUAUAUAUGUAUGCGCGUGCGUGGUACAUAAACUUAAACAUAAUAAUUUUGGACAGUGUCAUAUUACAACAGAAAUACUAAAAAGAUAGAAAAUUGAAAGUAACAUGAUAUGAUUACCUUAAAUAAGAACCAAAAUCAACUGACUCCAUCGACAACAAUAAUACUUAAGUACCCUUCAGUUGUUGAAUCUUCAGAUCCCUUUCUAUCUUUUUUCUCCUUGUUUGAGCAACCGACAAAUGCUUCUUAGGCAACAUGGCGGGCUAAUGUCCUAAUAUUAUGAAGAAAAAAUUAUUCAAGGAAUUAGAAAUUUAUACAUCGGAUGAUUUGAAUGAUUGGAACCCUAGACAUGUGCACAGAAUGACAAAAAAAAGUAUGGUUGAAUACAUACUAUGAAAGAUUGAAUUCGAAAAUUAUACAUUAAAAUUUGGAACUUCGUGUACACUGAAAUUAGAGGAUGGAUCAUGGAUGAAUAGUUGAAUAUGUUCUAAAAAAUAAAAGAAAUUACUGAAAUUGGGGUUUGUAGGGAUGGAUCAGGAACAUGGUACAGAGAGUUAUGCAUGGAUACGUAUACGUACUGCUGUGGGCUGCGCUCACUGCUCACAUACAUACAUAUACGUACUGCUGCGGGCUGCGGCUGCUGGAUUGCCGCACGGCGGGCGACGCGCACAGCGGUGACCGAGGCGACCACAGCGACGAGUGGACGAACAGACGAGCGAGGCGUCCACGAGAUCUUCGAUUGAUUUGUUUCACAAUCGAAACGAGCGGCCCUGCCGUGCGGCGUGCGUGAUGCUUCGCUCAUCGCUACCUGCUAUCUGAUGGGCCUACCUCAUCUCGUUUUUCUUCUCUCAUAAAUUUUUUUCUCACCUAUUUUUGCUUGGCUAUAUUAUAUAUGUGCACUACAUCAUGGGCCCCUCCCUGGGCUGGGCCCUAGGCCAUCGCCCCCCUGCCCAUGCCCCAGGGCUGGCCCUGGUGCGAGGCGGCAGCAGCGGGACGCAGUGGUGUAAGGCUGCGCCAGCGGAACGAUGUGGUGCUGCCUAGGCCGCGUCGGCAGGGCUGUUGGCGACGGCUAUGCUGUUGGCGGUGCCUAGGGCUUCCUCGCUGCUCCGCCGUUGCCGCUCCGAGGGGAUGACAGGAGCAGGGAGGCUAACUAACCUAGGCGGAGAAAAGGGAGGACCCAGCGAUGACGGCGGCGGCGGGCAAGCCGUUGGCGGCGGCGACGACGCGCACACAGAGGUGCUACAUCCGCCAUGAGUAGCAGGAGCUCGGGGAUGAUGCGAUCCUCCGCCCACAGAGCAGAGGAGGGAGAGAGAGACUGCGGCGACGACACGAGUGGAAGGGGAACGGGCUUCAGAAAUCCACCGGGCAGAUUAGUACCAUACCGAAAGUUUAAUCAGGACGUGACCAGUUUAUUAGGCCCAAUUCUACUAACUGUAUCACCAACACAGGGAUAUGCACGGCCGUCGGCUGCGAAAGAUGCCAAAGCGCACAAAUAAAAGAGGCCACCGAGCCCAACCCGUGACCCAGCACCCAAUAGUGCACACGGACAAAAAGAUGGCCUCCGAGCCCAGCCGUGACCCAACACCGAUAAGUGCACAUGGACCAGAUUAAAUGCAGCGAAAAUAUCCGCCAUGAGGGCACAGUCGUAAAAAAUAGCGCAAUUGCAUUCCCUGAGUUGGCACGUGCUAGACAUUAGCCACUUGACUUUUUGUUCAAAUUCCUUUUUAAAGCUUUUUCCUACAAGAAAACGCACGGGGUGCAGCGGCCAUCGAGAGGAGCGCUCGAAGCCAGCCAUGGCGUCCGCUCGCAGCUGCCGCGAGGUUGCUUGUAGUGGCCAGGGCGCAUCGUGCGGCCAGCUUUUUGCUGCCCCUCCUCGAUGUUUGUUGCUACAGGGAAGAAGAAAGGGGAUGAGCGGGAAAUCAAACAUUCUAUGAAAGAGUGGGAGUUCAAACAGAAUAAGAUUGCUAGAUCGUAAAAUAGGGUAGCUAGGGUAGCUCAUUGUCCUGUGAAUUAUGCAUGGACAACUCGAAACACUACAUGUUGGUUGCAUACAACUCCUUAUUUUGUUAAGGAUCUUGUAAUAGCUGAUUGCAAUCCUAUUGAAUUGAAAUAAAAACUCUCAUUCCCCGCAAAUAAAAGGUGGAUGAGUAGCAGAGGAGAUGGAGAUGUGCUGCUACAACAACAAGAGAGAUAUUUCACAUGGUGGGAAAGAGAUGAGGAUAAGAAGGGUGGUGUUGACACCCAUUGCAAGGUGGAAUGGCAGGACGCUGGGAGUUGCCUCCCAUGCCUGCGAUCUAGCCAAAUCGGACGCGUCGCGUGCGUCCGGCUCAAAGUUGUGCCAACCAGCCAUGUUCAAACAUUUCCUUUUUUUAAUAUAUCAGCAAACCGUAUAACUAUCUCUUUAUAUUGAUGUCCAAGAUACUGUCAUAAAAGGUACACAAAUCAAAUUCCACGUGAAGUGCUAAUGAUAGAGGACAGAACCAUAUAGACACUUACCAGUAGCACACUCUUGUCGUUACACACACGCGCGUCGAGUGCGGAGAGACAUCAAGACGAACGCACUAACCAACGAAGGGCAUGGUUCCACGAGAUAGGCUAGUCUCUGACCUGCAUUCUGAUCUUGGGAUAAAGCUCUCAUCGUCAUGCCCACCAGGUUCAGAGGUGUGGGUGUUGGUUGUUCUGUCGUCGUCUUUGGCGAAACAAUAGGCAGGCACCUGCCAUUCCGGGUCCUCUGGCACCAUUUCUGGCAUGAAGCUCAUCACAUGUGCAAUCCACCCUACGGGAUCACAUAAAUGCCAGCAAGAUAUUACAAAUUCAGGUUUAUUUUCGAUCAUCAGUGAAAAUGCCAUGUACGUUUUUUAUGAACCCCCCUCCUACCCGCAUUACAUUAUCAUUAAUGAAACCAGAUACCACAUCCAAGUUUACAGUAGUUUAUGCUCCGAAACCCGAAGUCCAAAAACGAAAAACCAAGUCCUGCAAGUACAUCAUUUACUAUCAGUAUGACACACUCCUUUCUUUGUCCGAGCCUUGUUAUAGAUUUAUCUGUCAUAUCAUAUCGUUAGCGAUCAUUCAUGAAUCUACAACUUUGGUCCUAUCAAGAGAUAGAGGCAAAAGCCAAAUGUCUUAAUGGUCCUGGUUCAAGUUUACGACCAAAUUAAACAUGUAUGCAAAUAAUGUUACCUCUUGGUUGCUCAAGAUCUAUUGUAUGCACUGUGCUGGUUUUAAUUGAUAGUAUUAGUUUUAUUUUUCGGGUAAUUGAUAGUAUUGAUAGUAUUAGUUACUAGUGUGGUAUGAGCUUCACUUAGACUAGAAGAUUUUCCUUUGUGACAAAGCAAGUUGCAGCAACUGUCUUUAUGUGUGCCUUAGAGAGAUGCCAUAAUUUCUUUAUGAUUCUAUACAAACUAAUCUCAUCAUUAACACAUUGUUCUUAUUUCUAUGUUUGACUUAAGAAUGAUGAUAUCAGUUUUAGAUGGCACAUCCUGAUUUGAAGCCAUGACCGGCACUUGAUCAUAUCAACCGAGCCAUAUCUUCUAUUGCACGGAAGCAGCAUUGGAACUGUCCAAGCAAAUGAUUGGCAGUCCCGUCCGAGGGGCACGAGAGUGGCAUCGAAGUUGUGAGUAUGAGUUUCUUGCGAGCUUAAGAAUUAUAGUAUCAAUCUCCUAUUGAGCCCCUUUUAUUUAGUUCAGUUGCUCUGCAUUUGGCCUCCUUGUUCCUUUGCCUGUUCUACCCCGUUAUCGAUUGUUCUUCUUCACUUUCUAAUUCUACUGUCCAACAUUUCUCCUCUCCCCAGUCUAGCUGCUAAAACUUGUUUUCUGGCUCCAGGAACAUCCUAAGUUCAAAUGACAAAUUUUAACAUGAUUGUAUGUCCAAGUAAGCAAGCGAGGGUUUUUCUUUUUCUGUACAAACGAUCAUCGAUUCAAAGAUUGCUUUUGAAAGAAAAUAAUUUUGCCACUCUGCAAUUGUGCUCAUGUGCUGAAAUUGUUCUAUGUACUACAGGGAAUGUAUCACCUAGCUCCAGUUACACCUGUACAAAUUCUAGCCUUAAAUAGAAUUUACCGUUGCUAAAGUCCUAUUCUACUCCCGAGCUCAAAUGCUCCCGCGUGAACAAUAGAAUCGGAAAAAAUAGCAAACAAAUUCAAAAAAUUCUAAAUUUUAUGUGAUAAACUUUGACACAUGUUUUGUAUGCAUACAAAAUUUCAGUACGAAACGACAUUCGUGCAAGGCAUGAAAAAAACAAAAUCAGCACUCCAAAAUGUUUCCAAAACUAGCAUUUUUGGAACAUCGAUUUUGUUUUUUUUGCCACGCCUUCCACAAAUGUCGUUUCGUGCUGAAUUUUUGCCAACAUACAAAACAUUUGCUAAAGUUCACCAUAAAAAAUUCAGAUAUUUUUGAAUUUUUUUCAAUUUUACUGUUCAUGAGGGAGCAUUUGAGAUUGGGUGUAGAUACUCCAUGUCCCUACCGUUGAGUAAUACUUGCCCAAUGUUAUCUCAUCGACAGCUAUCUCCAGCAUUGCCCUAUCCCGCGAUACAAAGUUUUAGUUCCAUAUAUGAUUUCUGCACUUAUCAUUUCUCCUGAUCAAAACUCGUUAAAAAAAAGUUGCACACGGUGCUAGUUGCCAUCUUCUCAUUUCCGGCAUGCGGAGUGAGUAAAGUAUUUGAAUAAAUGAUUUCCAAUUCAUAGAAUCACAAAUAUUUUCUUCUUUUUUAAUAUGCUAUGCAACAAUUUGAAAUUACAGAUGACUAGUAGAGUGCCCGUGCGUUGCCACGGGCCAACAAAUGAAUUAACUAAAAAACACGCUCGCCUCGCUUUAUAUAUAAAGCAACGGCCAACAUACACGCAACUGCAUACAUGUGACGCCCGGGAAAUUAAGCUACAGUGAUCCUCUGCUAGUGAUGUCACGUCACCUCAAUUAUAGUUGCUAAUCUUGAGUUAGUUCAAAACCGGUCCAAAAUUCAAAAUUCAAAUUAAUGAUAACGAUAAAAGUUUUCAAAAAUUAAAACUAAAAAGUUCGGUGGUUGUCAAAUAUUACAUCGGUAAUUAUGGUGGAGUGCACACAUUUUUAUAAAGUGUCUGAAUAUUUUAAAAUGAAUUAAAACAGAAAGGGAAAAAUAAGAAAAGAAAAUAAAAACAAACCGAAUAAAUAAAGGGAGGGGAGAAAACCCCACUGGCCCAACUGGGCCAAGCCCCCACCUGGCCCAGCCGGCCACCCCCUGGCCCGGCCCAACCCCCUCACUCCCUUAUCCCCCCCGGUCGGCAGGAAACCCUAGCCGCACCCAUUCGCCCCCCCGAUCCCCUCCUCCUCCCUCCCCGCGCCGAUCUGGAUCGGCUCCGCCCGAUCCCGUCGCCCCCCGACNNNNNNNNNNNNNNNNNNNNNNNNNNNNNNNNNNNNNNNNNNNNNNNNNNNNNNNNNNNNNNNNNNNNNNNNNNNNNNNNNNNNNNNNNNNNNNNNNNNNNNNNNNNNNNNNNNNNNNNNNNNNNNNNNNNNNNNNNNNNNNNNNNNNNNNNNNNNNNNNNNNNNNNNNNNNNNNNNNNNNNNNNNNNNNNNNNNNNNNNNNNNNNNNNNNNNNNNNNNNNNNNNNNNNNNNNNNNNNNNNNNNNNNNNNNNNNNNNNNNNNNNNNNNNNNNNNNNNNNNNNNNNNNNNNNNNNNNNNNNNNNNNNNNNNNNNNNNNNNNNNNNNNNNNNNNNNNNNNNNNNNNNNNNNNNNNNNNNNNNNNNNNNNNNNNNNNNNNNNNNNNNNNNNNNNNNNNNNNNNNNNNNNNNNNNNNNNNNNNNNNNNNNNNNNNNNNNNNNNNNNNNNNNNNNNNNNNNNNNNNNNNNNNNNNNNNNNNNNNNNNNNNNNNNNNNNNNGCCGACCCUCGUCUCUGCAACGUCGGUGAGGCACCGUCCUCUCCUCCUCCCGCCCGCGUGCUCGAACCACGAUGCCGCGCACCGCGUGCCCCGGUCUUGCUGCUCUUCCUCCUGCCGCACGCGCUCACCACGCGCUUCGGAUGACCCCCAUACCGCGCGCUCACGGCCACGACCUUCUCCCCGCGCCGCGACUGGACCGGCGCCCCCCCUGCACGCGCCCGUGCGCGCCCACCCGUGCCCACGGCCAUCGCUGCCGGACGCCCGCGCCCGAGACGGUGCUCUGCCCGCUCCUGCUCACGGCCUCCUCGCCCCGCUCCCUCGACCAUCCCACGCCCCGUGCCCCUGCUCCACGGCUGCUGCUGCCUCCUCUACCCACUGCACCCGCCGUGCCGCUACCUCCCCAGGUCGCCGUGGCCUCGCCUGUGCUGCUUCCUUGCCGCCCCGGCCGCCUGGCCGGCGCCGUGGCCACCGGCCUCCCCCUGCACCGCCCCCCCUGCCGGGUCCGCCCGCACUGGCGUGCACUCGAACGAACGGGUGCUGGACACCCAUUGCGCCCAUCUCCACCCAGCACCCGUUAGCCCGAACCGCUGUGGCCUAGGGGCCCUAUGACAACAGGGGCCCACACCCCAGAACGGUUAAAAAAAGAGAGAAUUAAAAAUGAAAUUAUAAAAUAAAAAUGAUUAAUAAAAUUAAUUAUUAAUUAAUUAAUUAACUAAUGAAUUAAUUAAGUUAAUUAAUCCGGUUUAAUUAAUUUAAUUAACCAGUUAAGUUUAAUUAAACUGUAAUUAGAUUAACCUAAACCCUAAUUAACCUAAUUAGAGGAUGACAGGUGGGUCCCCCCCUGGACCCACAUGUCAGGUUGACCGCUGACAUCAGCAUGACAUCAUGCUGACGUCAUAAAUCUAUUUUUUCGAAUUAAUUAAUUAAAUUCCAGAAAUUAAUAAAAUCUUUAGAAAAUCAUAUCUUUUAAUCCGUAACUCGGAUUAAAAUAUUUUCAACAUGAAAGUUGCGCAGAACAACGAGACGAAUCCGGAUACGCAGCCCGUUCGUCCGCCACGCGUCCCUAGCAUAGAGAACCUGCAACAUUUCACCUCCGGUUCAUCUGUCCGAAAACAUGAAACACCGGGGGUACUUCCCGGAUGUUUCCCCCCUUCACCGGUAUCACCUCAUACCGCGUUAGAACACGUCUAGCUCUGCUUGUUGACCUGUUAUGCACUUGCUUGCUAUGUAUUUACUGUUUCUUCCCCCUCUUCUCUCCGGUAGCCCCCGUGACGAUGCUGAUGCCCCUGUGGACGACUACGUCACCGACGACCCCUCCUUCUUGUCUGAGCAACCAGGCAAGCCCCCCCUUUGAUCACCAGAUAUCGCCUACUCUUCUCUAUACUGCUUGCAUUAGAGUAGUGUAGCAUGUUACUGCUUUCCGUUAAUCCUAUUCUGAUGCAUAGCCUGUCAUUGCUGCUACAGUCAUUGAUACCUUACCCGCAAUCCUAAAUGCUUAGUAUAGGAUGCUAGUGUUCCAUCAGUGGCCCUACACUCUUGUCCGUCUGCCAUGCUAUACUACUGGGUUGUGAUCACUUCGGGAGGUGAUCACGGGCAUAUACUAUAUACUUUACACUGUUACAUUACCUGUGAUACUAUUCGGAGUUGGGGGCUGAAGGGGCAGGUGGCUCCAUCCCGGUAGAGGUGGGCCUGGGUUCCCGACGGCCCCCGACUGUUACUUGGUGGCGGAGUGACAGGGCAGGUUGAGACCACCUAGGAGACAGGUGGGCCUGGCCCUGUUCGGCGUUCGCGGAUACUUAACACGCUUAACGAGAUCUUGGUAUUUGAUCUGAGUUGGCUACGAGCCUAUACGCACUAACCAUCUACGCGGGAGUAGUUAUGGGUAUCCCGACGUCGUGGUAUCAGCCGAAGCACUUCAGACCUCAGCGACGGAGCGGCGCGCGCCGAAUUGGACUGGAACGCCACUAGGCUAGGUCUGCUUUCGGCCGCGUACGCAACAUGCAGGUGUGCUAUGGGCGAUGGGCCCAGACCCCUGUGCGCUUAGGUUUAGACCGGCGUGCUGGCCUCUCUGUUGUGCCUAGGUGGGGCUGCGACGUGUUGAUCUUCCGCGGCCGGGCAUGACCCAGGAAAGUGUGUCCGGCCAAAUGGGAUCAAGCGUGUUGGGUUAUGUGGUGCACCCCUACAGGGAAGUUAAUCUAUUCGAAUAGCCGUGAUCUUCGGUAACAGGAUGACUUGGAGUUGUACCUUAACCUUAUGACAACUAGAACUGGAUACUUAAUAAAACACACCCUUCCAAGUUCCACAGACAACCCGGUGAUCGCUUUUCCGCAGGGCGACGAGGAGAGGAUCCCCGGGUAGGAUUAUGCUAUGCGAUGCGACUGGAGAUGCGCUUGGAGAUGCUACCUAGAUAUGCUACUUGGAGAUGCUACUUGGAGGACUUCAAUCUACUCUCUUCUACAUGCUGCAAGACGGAGGCUGCCAGAAGCGUAGUCUUCGACAGGAUUAGCUAUCCCCCUCUUAUUCUGGCAUUCUGCAGUUCAGUCCACUGAUAUGUCCUCUUUACACAUAUACCCAUGCAUAUGUAGUGUAGCUCCUUGCUUGCGAGUACUUUGGAUGAGUACUCACGGUUGCUUUCUCCCUCCUUUUUCCCCUUUCCUUUCUUUUUGGUUGUCGCAACCAGAUGCUGGAGUCCAGGAGCCAGGAGCCAGCGUCGACGACGACUACUACAUUGGAGGUGCCUACUACUACGUGCAGGCUGACGACGACGACCAGGAGUAGUUAGGAGGAUCUCAGGCAGGAGGCCUGCGCCUCUUUCGAUCUGUAUCCCAGUUUGUGCUAGCCAUCUUAUGGCAACUUGUUUAACUUAUGUCUGUACUCAGAUAUUGUUGCUUCCGCUGACUCGUCUAUGAUCGAGCACUUGUAUUCGAGCCCUCGAGGCCCCUGGCUUGUAUUAUGAUGCUUGUAUGACUUAUUUUAUUUGUAGAGUUGUGUUGUGAUAUCUUCCCGUGAGUCCCUGAUCUUGAUCGUACACAUUUGCGUGCAUGAUUAGUGUACGAUUGAAUCGGGGGCGUCACAAGUUGGUAUCAGAGCCGACUGCCUGUAGGAAUCCCCCUUUCCAACUCCUUGGCCGAAGUUGAGUCUAGUCGAUGAAAAUUGUUUUACUAACUUGGCUGUGCGGCCCAUGGGCCCACGUCGCCAAUUGGGUGGUAUUAGGAUCGUUUACUCCUCGACCUUUACUCUGGGACUCUGAGCUCUCUUCUAUUCGGGUUAAAUGAUUUUGCUAAAAACAAAACUAACUUUAGGUUCUCGCAAGUACUUUCUCCCGGAGAGCCACUUGUUACCGAUGACCGCCUGCUGCACCAGAAGAUUCCGAAGAUACUCUACGAUGUGCUCUCGAGACUAUGUGCCAUCGCUUUUGCAAUUCACUUCCAUCGAUAAAUCCCUCUAGAUAACUACUUACACCUAUCGUUCAUAUUGUCAUCCCCAGUUGCUCUUGUUAUUACAAGAUGUCCUGAAAUACUCUUCGAUAUUCCGAGAAUUCUUUACGCUUACUGCCCUGCAGUUCCUUGCUGCAUGAAUACCCCUACGGAUAAUUACUUGCGCUUGCCGAGUAUCCGCUCAUCCCCAGUUGUUCUUGUGUUUCACAAAAGUCUUCAAAAUAAUAUUCGAUCUUUCGAAAACCCUCUGGGGCCUUUGGCUCUUGAAAUUCUUGCUUGCUUGCAUUAUGGUUAAUCCCAUAAGUCUCGUAGUCUUAAUGACAUUCAUUGUCAUUAUCAUUUUGAGUCUGUUGACUCAAUAUGUUUGCGAAUACACGCAAUCAUCAUUGAUCCUUAUAAAUUACCUUUCCGGCUGAGCUUCCAUUCUUUUAACUGGAGUUGGUUCUCGACCAAUCCAAUUGUCGUUGGUUGUACCCUAAGGCUAUUCAACUUAUCCAUCCCUAAUCAGAGCAUUGCUUUUGAUCCCUUGAUUUGGAAAUCAUAAUUCCUUUGCAUUUGACAAUUGAGUUAGUCAGUUGUUUCUAUAAUCUGAUCUCCUUUCAUUCUUCUUCCUCUAGUUGAGUACCGAUACUCGUAUCAGAUCCCUUGUGGACCAUCAAGUCCUUUGUUGGAUUUAUCUGACAACGCCCUUCAUAUUCAAUAACCUUGUGAGCCUUUCCUCGGAUACAUAAUGCCUUUGGUAAAUUGUAUCCUCUGCUUUUCUCAACCAUGCUCUGCCAUCGAGUUUGUGUUAUUUACUCUUGAAACUUGUGGUAUAUGUUUCUAAGAAGCCCCUAUGGGUUGAACAUAUGCCUUCUCUAAAACGUGUGAACCCGAAAGUUUUCACGAGUCAUACACUUCUGGUGCUUCACCAGACAAAAUUUCAACACUACAACUUCAUCGAACGUGAGAAGUGAAUGAAAGGUUAUGCAUUGGAGAAGUGGGAGUCGACCUUGAACUUGUGUUCAUGCCCAUGGACGCGAUAUAUAUCCUAUCAUGAAAGCUUCUUGUAACAAUAACUAUUUCCUUGAUAACUAACCUAUGGUAUCUGUGAAUUGAUCCCUUGCAACCGUGGUUCCGACCAUGAUUGUUCUUCUUUGAUCUCAUUUCUCUGAUAAGUUAAAACAAUUGUCUUCUAUGGAUCAAUACACCAGUCCAACCUUUACUUUGAUCUUGUGUCGAGUAUUACCCCCCUGGUAUCUCGAGAUUAUCAUGGAACUGCAUAACUUUUUAUGAGUUCUUCAUCAAGUGCUACCUUCCCAUCGAUUCCAAUUUUUCGCGGGCUCUGAGUUAUUGAACACUCAAAGACACCGAUAACUGAACCGAGUCCGCUCUACGGUUCAACAACUCUUCAGCAAGCUUCUAUAAGUACGAGUUUGUUACCCGAUCACGCCAUUCCUAGCCUGUUUGGCUAUAUCGUUGUCGUGACGAAUUCUAACGGGGCUACCUGGUCCUUAUUUUCGGAGCACCAAUUUUCGACGAUGAACUAACCUUACGUCGAUUGUCCUCGUCAUACCCUUUCACCUUAAACAACAAGCUUGAGUUCGAGUUUGUGUCGUAACGGUGGUUCCAAUAACCUCUUGCUUCAUCAUUCCUUUGACUUGAUGUCGUCGCUGAUUGACUACAUCUGCAUGAAAUCUCUCGACAAUUGUGUCGUGAUCAUCAUCAACCUUAUGAGCUCUUCCAGGAAUUCAAUUGAAUUCAUGAUGGGUAAUACCAUCCUUGCCCCUCGAUGAUUCCUGUUCUCAUCGACCACUUUAUUGCCUUCCGUUCAACACAACUUGUUCGAGUUUGGUGUAAACCUUGAGAUCACUGCUACCCAGCAGUCGAUCUUCCUUACCUUGGUAGUAUUACCAUCUCUUUUUGUCAAGAGUGUGGUGAGAAUUUCACCACCUCUUAAUAAUUCUUCAUAACAUAAUACUUCUUGCCAUCUUCGUUCAUUCCUUGGUCCCCGUAUUGUUUUCAACCGGAAUACCGACAAUGGAGCUAUGACGUGUGAAUUCAAAAAUUCUAACAACCCUAUUGCUUUGAAGUGAAUGGGCAAUAGUUCAUUCUAAGUCCUUCGCUAAUUGAAUCACCAUUCUGACAUUGGUCGUGCAACCCAACCCAUAUUUCGGGCGCACCUUUCAACCAAUGUUUAAUUGUGUAUGUUUUCCUCGAGCAUACUUCCGUAUAUCAUUUGAUCUGACAAAUGUUAUCUCCUUGUUCACUUAAUGGUGGAAAUCCAUCUUUUGGGAAUCUCGGUGAAUUGCCGUUGAGUUCACCAGACACCUCCUUGUCCUCUCCUUGGGUUAAUGAUGGACUCUUGUUAACGGAAAUCACUUCGUAGUUCAUUUCCCCGAGAAUCUUACAAUGCCAUCUCGUCAAUUUGCGUUGCACCUUUUCUUCUCAGGUAUCCUAAGUCUGAGGUAUCCUGACACCAAUCGGAUCUGAAUCUCGGUCAGAUAUGAUGGUUGGGACAAUUUUCCAAGAGUCAUGAAGUUGAUCCUUUGAUGACCCGGUAACAUGAUGUCAUGCCUAGCACCCCCCCCCCGGCUGGAGGACCUAUCAUUAUAGAUUCCUUUUCAGCAAGGUUAUCCAUUCGUCCAUGAGGAAAUUGUAAGACUUAUGCUACAAGUUAUUCCCGAUGGAUCCUUCGUGUUACCCAAAGUCUGAUCUUCACCUGAAGACCAUGUCAAUGCUAUCUCGAAGCAUGUCAAUGGUACUCCGAUUUUCAACAGGAACAUUUGAAGCACGAUGCUAAAUUUUAUUUAUCACUUAUCUAACACCGUUGUAUGGGUAAUAUCAUGAGAUUCCUUCCCCCUUACCUAAAUGGUUUUCUACUUUAUAUCCUGUCAUGGAUAUCAUGCUCUGCUUGUCAUUGGGAAGGAUAUACCCCUGAAAUAUGUGUUUAAACACAUUUUCCUUUCCAUUGUUCUGUUUAAUCUGAUGAUCAUAUUUUCCUUCCAUUGUUGGUUUAACCUUUCUUGUGAUCUAUAUGAUCUGAGAAGUAAUAUUUUCCUGCUUAUGUAAACACCUUGUUGUACAAUUCUGUCAGUAAGACCAUGUUACUUUUGUUGAUGACAUUCCGGUAACCACCGAUGGAUGAGAACUCUGCCUACUGGUCCGCCUCGUUCAACGAGCAGGAAAAUGGUUCUCUUCGUCCCUCGCCCUUGGUACCGACAUUGUUGCCGACAUAACUGACAUGCUACUCUCUGACAUGCCUUGCUAUCGUGAUCGUACAAGAUGUCAGCCCCCCUUUCUACUUUUAACCCACAUGGUGGGCCCAUAACCCACAGGUCCCAGGAACGAAACCUGACUCUCCUGUACAACCUAUUGUCAAGGUUAUUCCUCGUGCUUGGCUUUGUAUGUAAUUCACGGGCCACUUGCCUGUUGAUCUAUUCUGGUAUCAGACACAAAACUUAUUACCAUUGCUCUGGACCCCUUUUACACUUUGUUUCAGGCAUCGGAUGAUUGCCUGCCCGCUUGAAACUUCUCAUGGUACCUUCUUACUUGCUCUCGAUAUUUUCUUGAGUUCCAGUUCGAGAGUUACUUUCCGCCACCUUCCCCUAUGUUAGCUACCAGAUAGUCAACCUUGCAUAGGUUCGUUCUGCCGGAAUACCCCCUUACCUAUUCGUAAGUACGUUGGAGUUCCCGAGAAAAGGGCGGCAUCACCAUGAUGACCUGUAGCAGAGAAAUGAUGAUGUCAAGGUAAUGGAUCGACCUCUUCAUGAAGAACAACCAAGACUGAGAAGAUUCGUUAGGAUUUCGUAACCAGACCUUUCCCCCUUACUCCCCUCUUAAAUCUCGGGACGAGAUUUCUUGUAGUGGAGGAGAAUUGUGACGCCCGGGAAAUUAAGCUACAGUGAUCCUCUGCUAGUGAUGCCACGUCACCUCAAUUAUAGUUGCUAAUCUUGAGUUAGUUCAAAACCGGUCCAAAAUUCAAAAUUCAAAUUAAUGAUAACGAUAAAAGUUUUCAAAAAUUAAAACUAAAAAGUUCGGUGGUUGUCAAAUAUUACAUCGGUAAUUAUGGUGGAGUGCACACAUUUUUAUAAAGUGUCUGAAUAUUUUAAAAUGAAUUAAAACAGAAAGGGAAAAAUAAGAAAAGAAAAUAAAAACAAACCGAAUAAAUAAAGGGAGGGGAGAAAACCCCACUGGCCCAACUGGGCCAAGCCCCCACCUGGCCCAGCCGGCCACCCCCUGGCCCGGCCCAACCCCCUCACUCCCUUAUCCCCCCCGGUCGGCAGGAAACCCUAGCCGCACACAUUCGCCCCCCCGAUCCCCUCCUCCUCCCUCCCCGCGCCGAUCUGGAUCGGCUCCGCCCGAUCCCGUCGCCCCCCGACGCCGGCGACCGACCCGCCGCCCCGACNNNNNNNNNNNNNNNNNNNNNNNNNNNNNNNNNNNNNNNNNNNNNNNNNNNNNNNNNNNNNNNNNNNNNNNNNNNNNNNNNNNNNNNNNNNNNNNNNNNNNNNNNNNNNNNNNNNNNNNNNNNNNNNNNNNNNNNNNNNNNNNNNNNNNNNNNNNNNNNNNNNNNNNNNNNNNNNNNNNNNNNNNNNNNNNNNNNNNNNNNNNNNNNNNNNNNNNNNNNNNNNNNNNNNNNNNNNNNNNNNNNNNNNNNNNNNNNNNNNNNNNNNNNNNNNNNNNNNNNNNNNNNNNNNNNNNNNNNNNNNNNNNNNNNNNNNNNNNNNNNNNNNNNNNNNNNNNNNNNNNNNNNNNNNNNNNNNNNNNNNNNNNNNNNNNNNNNNNNNNNNNNNNNNNNNNNNNNNNNNNNNNNNNNNNNNNNNNNNNNNNNNNNNNNNNNNNNNNNNNNNNNNNNNNNNNNNNNNNNNNNNNNNNNNNNNNNNNNNNNNNNNNNNNNNNNNNNNNNNNNNNNNNNNNNNNNNNNNNNNNNNNNNNNNNNNNNNNNNNNNNNNNNNNNNNNNNNNNNNNNNNNNNNNNNNNNNNNNNNNNNNNNNNNNNNNNNNNNNNNNNNNNNNNNNNNNNNNNNNNNNNNNNNNNNNNNNNNNNNNNNNNNNNNNNNNNNNNNNNNNNNNNNNNNNNNNNNNNNNNNNNNNNNNNNNNNNNNNNNNNNNNNNNNNNNNNNNNNNNNNNNNNNNNNNNNNNNNNNNNNNNNNNNNNNNNNNNNNNNNNNNNNNNNNNNNNNNNNNNNNNNNNNNNNNNNNNNNNNNNNNNNNNNNNNNNNNNNNNNNNNNNNNNNNNNNNNNNNNNNNNNNNNNNNNNNNNNNNNNNNNNNNNNNNNNNNNNNNNNNNNNNNNNNGUGCUCCCCGUCCUCCUCCCCAAAGGCUCCAUCAAGCCUCGCCGACCCUCGUCUCUGCAACGUCGGUGAGGCACCGUCCUCUCCUCCUCCCGCCCGCGUGCUCGAACCACGGUGCCGCGCACCGCGUGCCCCGGUCUUGCUGCUCUUCCUCCUGCCGCACGCGCUCACCACGCGCUUCGGAUGACCCCCAUACCGCGCGCUCACGGCCGCGACCUUCUCCCCGCGCCGCGACUGGACCGGCACCCCCCCUGCACGCGCCCGUGCGCGCCCACCCGCGCCCACGGCCAUCGCUACCGGACGCCCGCGCCCGAGACGGUGCUCUGCCCGCUCCUGCUCACGGCCUCCUCGCCCCGCUCCCUCGACCAUCCCACGCCCCGUGCCCCUGCUCCACGGCUGCUGCUGCCUCCUCUACCCACCGCACCCGCCAUGCCGCUACCUCCCCAGGUUGCCGUGGCCUCGCCUGUGCUGCUUCCUUGCCGCCCCGGCCGCCUGGCCGGCGCCGUGGCCACCGGCCUCCCCCUGCACCGCCCCCCCUGCCGGGUCCGCCCGCACUGGCGUGCACUCGAACGAACGGGUGCUGGACACCCAUUGCGCCCAUCUCCACCCAGCACCCGUUAGCCCGAACCGCUGUGGCCUAGGGGGCCUAUGACAACAGGGGCCCACACCCCAGAACGGUUAAAAAAAGAGAGAAUUAAAAAUGAAAUUAUAAAAUAAAAAUGAUUAAUAAAAUUAAUUAUUAAUUAAUUAAUUAACUAAUGAAUUAAUUAAGUUAAUUAAUCCGGUUUAAUUAAUUUAAUUAACCAGUUAAGUUUAAUUAAACUGUAAUUAGAUUAACCUAAACCCUAAUUAACCUAAUUAGAGGAUGACAGGUGGGUCCCCCCCUGGACCCACAUGUCAGGUUGACCGCUGACAUCAGCAUGACAUCAUGCUGACAUCAUAAAUCCAUUUUUUCGAAUUAAUUAAUUAAUUAAUUAAAUUCCAGAAAUUAAUAAAAUCUUUAGAAAAUCAUAUCUUUUAAUCCGUAACUCGGAUUAAAAUAUUUUCAACAUGAAAGUUGCGCAGAACAACGAGACGAAUCCGGAUACGCAGCCCGUUCGUCCGCCACGCGUCCCUAGCAUAGAGAACCUGCAACAUUUCACCUCCGGUUCAUCUGUCCGAAAACACGAAACACCGGGGGUACUUCCCGGAUGUUUCCCCCCUUCACCGGUAUCACCUCAUACCGCGUUAGAACACGUCUAGCUCUGCUUGUUGACCUGUUAUGCACUUGCUUGCUAUGUAUUUACUGUUUCUUCCCCCUCUUCUCUCCGGUAGCCCCCGUGACGAUGCUGAUGCCCCUGUGGACGACUACGUCACCGACGACCCCUCCUUCUUGUCUGAGCAACCAGGCAAGCCCCCCCUUUGAUCACCAGAUAUCGCCUACUCUUCUCUAUACUGCUUGCAUUAGAGUAGUGUAGCAUGUUACUGCUUUCCGUUAAUCCUAUUCUGAUGCAUAGCCUGUCAUUGUUGCUACAGUCAUUGAUACCUUACCCGCAAUCCUAAAUGCUUAGUAUAGGAUGCUAGUGUUCCAUCAGUGGCCCUACACUCUUGUCCGUCUGCCAUGCUAUACUACUGGGCUGUGAUCACUUCGGGAGGUGAUCACGGGCAUAUACUAUAUACUUUACACUGUUACAUUACCUGUGAUACUGUUCGGAGUUGGGGGCUGAAGGGGCAGGUGGCUCCAUCCCGGUAGAGGUGGGCCUGGGUUCCCGACGGCCCCCGACUAUUACUUGGUGGCGGAGCGACAGGGCAGGUUGAGACCACCUAGGAGACAGGUGGGCCUGGCCCUGUUCGGCGUUCGCGGAUACUUAACACGCUUAACGAGAUCUUGGUAUUUGAUCUGAGUUGGCUACGAGCCUAUACGCACUAACCAUCUAUGCGGGAGUAGUUAUGGGUAUCCCGACGUCGUGGUAUCAGCCGAAGCACUUCAGACCUCAGCGACGGAGCGGCGCGCGCCGAAUUGGACUGGAACGCCACUAGGGUAGGUCUGCUUUCGGCCGCGUACGCAACAUGCAGGUGUGCUAUGGGCGAUGGGCCCAGACCCCUGUGCGCUUAGGUUUCGACCGGCGUGCUGGCCUCUCUGUUGUGCCUAGGUGGGGCUGCGACGUGUUGAUCUUCCGCGGCCGGGCAUGACCCAGGAAAGUGUGUCCGGCCAAAUGGGAUCAAGCGUGUUGGGUUAUGUGGUGCACCCCUGCAGGGAAGUUAAUCUAUUCGAAUAGCCAUGAUCUUCGGUAACAGGACGACUUGGAGUUGUACCUUGACCUUAUGACAACUAGAACCGGAUACUUAAUAAAACACACCCUUCCAAGUUCCACAGACAACCCGGUGAUCGCUUUUCCGCAGGGCGACGAGGAGAGGAUCGCCGGGUAGGAUUAUGCUAUGCGAUGCGACUGGAGAUGCGCUUGGAGAUACUACCUGGAUAUGCUACUUGGAGGACUUCAAUCUACUCUCUUCUACAUGCUGCAAGACGGAGGCUGCCAGAAGCGUAGUCUUCGACAGGAUUAGCUAUCCCCCUCUUAUUCUGGCAUUCUGCAGUUCAGUCCACUGAUAUGGCCUCUUUACACAUAUACCCAUGCAUAUGUAGUGUAGCUCCUUGCUUGCGAGUACUUUGGAUGAGUACUCACGGUUGCUUUCUCCCCCCUUUUUCCCCUUUCCUUUCUUUCUGGUUGUCGCAACCAGAUGCUGGAGUCCAGGAGCCAGGAGCCAGCGUCGACGACGACUAAUACAUUGGAGGUGCCUACUACUACGUGCAGGCUGACGACGACGACCAAGAGUAGUUAGGAGGAUCCCAGGCAGGAGGCCUGCGCCUCUUUCGAUCUGUAUCCCAGUUUGUGCUAGCCAUCUUAUGGCAACUUGUUUAACUUAUGUCUGUACUCAGAUAUUGUUGCUUCCGCUGACUCGUCUAUGAUCGAGCACUUGUAUUCGAGCCCUCGAGGCCCCUGGCUUGUAUUAUGAUGCUUGUAUGACUUAUUUUAUUUGUAGAGUUGUGUUGUGAUGUCUUCCCGUGAGUCCCUGAUGUUGAUCGUACACAUUUGCGUGCAUGAUUAGUGUACGAUUGAAUCGGGGGCGUCACAAUACAAUACGUCGCCACCACACACAAUACACAACACACAUCCAAGGUAAGAUGCAAGGGUGCCGAGGAAUAGCAACACCCGUGCCACCAAGCACACUACAAAUGGACCAAAAAGAACUACUGGAGUCGACUGAGACCUUCAUCAUGAGCUAUGCACCACGAAUAUGUGAAGCUGGACAUCGAUGAAACAUACACUCAAAAGCGGUACCUACAAGAAGGAUACGCCACGCCCAAUCCCGGGGAUCAGUUUUUCACUUAGAGCGCCAAGAAGGACAAAGAGUGACUGCCAUGGAGCCUUCAGGAAGGUAAUGACGCCCGCCGACACUGCUCCUGUCGGCCUAGAAAAAAUAAGUUAUGCACCCCAACGCUCACACAUCUUCGCUGAACCAGGGU
rnacentral:lncRNA from 1 species